UAAAAGAUUUUUAGCAUACAAUCAAAGACUCUUUCCCUACCCUAAGGCAUUCUUUGAACAGAUGUACAGUACAUAUGUCUCUAAAGAGACUUUCUCUUGGGGCCGCCCAUGACAAGUCUAUAGAAUAGAUACUCUCUGUCUCAAGGAAUUCCCCAUCAACAAAGGUCGGGGAUUUCAUGGAAUCUGUAAGGAAGGCUUUCACUCUUUCCAGGGCAAGCUCUCUUCAAAAACUUUCCUUUCCGGAAAUCUGACCUAGCUGAAGCAGCGGCUAUCGGAGUCAGGCUUAGGGCCCGUUCUUCUCUACUUUUUAAACAGAAUUUUACAAUAAAAAGUCCUUUUCUCUUAAAAGCAAGGAAGAACGACCAUCGUUUCAGAAUUUUUUCCACCAUCAAAGAAGUGUUUUUUGGCUGAUGGAGAAGUUAAAAAUUUCAACUUUUCUUCAGCCAAAAGUCCGUUUGGCUGAUAAUUUCCCAUUUUAACCUGUCUUCUACCCCCCCCCCCUAAAAACGUUAAAUUCUCUUCUCGUGUUUGUGAUCCUUAAAGGUAAGGUCUCUUACAGAUUACUGGUCUUUCUUCUAUUGUUCAAUUAACUUCUACCCUACCUAUUCAAACUACUUACCUNNNNNNNNNNNNNNNNNNNNNNNNNNNNNNNNNNNNNNNNNNNNNNNNNNNNNNNNNNNNNNNNNNNNNNNNNNNNNNNNNNNNNNNNNNNNNNNNNNNNNNNNNNNNNNNNNNNNNNNNNNNNNNNNNNNNNNNNNNNNNNNNNNNNNNNNNNNNNNNNNNNNNNNNNNNNNNNNNNNNNNNNNNNNNNNNNNNNNNNNNNNNNNNNNNNNNNNNNNNNNNNNNNNNNNNNNNNNNNNNNNNNNNNNNNNNNNNNNNNNNNNNNNNNNNNNNNNNNNNNNNNNNNNNNNNNNNNNNNNNNNNNNNNNNNNNNNNNNNNNNNNNNNNNNNNNNNNNNNNNNNNNNNNNNNNNNNNNNNNNNNNNNNNNNNNNNNNNNNNNNNNNNNNNNNNNNNNNNNNNNNNNNNNNNNNNNNNNNNNNNNNNNNNNNNNNNNNNNNNNNNNNNNNNNNNNNNNNNNNNNNNNNNNNNNNNNNNNNNNNNNNNNNNNNNNNNNNNNNNNNNNNNNNNNNNNNNNNNNNNNNNNNNNNNNNNNNNNNNNNNNNNNNNNNNNNNNNNNNNNNNNNNNNNNNNNNNNNNNNNNNNNNNNNNNNNNNNNNNNNNNNNNNNNNNNNNNNNNNNNNNNNNNNNNNNNNNNNNNNNNNNNNNNNNNNNNNNNNNNNNNNNNNNNNNNNNNNNNNNNNNNNNNNNNNNNNNNNNNNNNNNNNNNNNNCAAUCCAGGUUUUUUUUUCUUUUCUUUUUCCUUGUGCGGAAUGUAAUUUUAUUUUCUCUCUUCUGUUUGGUUGUGGAGGAAAAAAAAAGGGGCAUGUGACGGACUUUUUAGAAAUCUUUUGUUCUCUGGUUUUCUUUCCUUAUUUAAAAAAAUAGUUGUUGAUUUUGAUUGGUUGCUAUUGUUUAUUCCCCUCCGAAAAUUUUCUUCUCUUUGACAAUGUUCUCUUCAUCCUGUUCCAUUUCCAACUUAUAACUUCACAUAUUUAUAUUGCAUUUCUUUGGUAUUGACGAUGAGGGUGUUCUUAAUUUCUCGGGGCAUUGAAGAAGACAUAGAAGACAUUUAGAAUGAAAAAUGAGUUAUUUAGAAUUGGAAUUGAGAAUGUUCAUUAGAUUUGAGGAAAAUGGUGGAAGGGAAGAAAGAGGUUAAAGGAGAUGGUUCUAUGCCGUUUGUUACUUUUGUGUCCCUGGAUAAUGUGAUUUCUUGUGAGAGAGAAAGUUAAGAAACUUCAGUUUUCUGCAGUUAAGUUUCUUCUAAGUACUAAGUAGGAGAAAAGAAGGAAAAAAAAAUCUCAUUUUUGUAUUCAUCCUGUUCUAAGUCCAACUUAUAGCUUUACAUAUUUUAUUGCUUUGCUUUGGUAUUGACAAUUAGGAAGUUCUUAAUUUUUGAAGCAAACAUUUAGAAUGAAAAUGAGUUAUUUAGAACUGAAAUUGAGAAGUUUUGUAGAUUUUUGAAAAUUGGAGGAAGGGAAGAAAAGAUUUAAAUGAGAUAUGUUAUUCUGUACUGUUGUUACUAUCUUUUAUAUCCCCAGUUAAUGUAGUAUUUGGUGAGAAAGAAAAUGGAAAAACUUAAAUUUUCCACUGUUAAGUUCCUUCUUAGUUCUAAGUAGGAGAAAAGAAGGGACUUCCUAUGUUUUCAUGUCAACUUUUCACAGUUGUAUUGUUUGCUGUGGUUUUGACCUUAGCAAGUUUUUAUCUUUGAUUGGUGCAAAUGCAUGGAUGAUUGAGAGGAAGUUAUAGCAAACAAUGUUUGACUCGAUAUGGGUUUUACUGGUGAAUAUACCAGAGGUGUUUGGGACUUUCUAUGUUUUCAUGUCUGCUUUUGAGUCAUUUUUAUAAAGUGUAUGUCUUUGAAACCCAUUGAAUUGAUUGAAGCUGCCUUUUAUUUGUUUAAAGAAGAAAUUGUGAGAACUCCAAUGAUAUAUGCAUCUAUAGGACUAGGUUUUUCUUGUGCUGCCAUAGCUACUUGGAUUUUGCUUCUAUGUACAAAUAGAAAAUGCAGGAACCCUAAUUGUAGAGGUCUUAGGAAAGCAGCUGAAUUCGAUAUCCAAUUGGAAACCGAAGAGUGUGUUAAGAACUCCAACACUUUGGUUAAACAUGGUGCUAAAAGAGGGCUCUUCGAGUUGCUCCCGGAUCAUCAUAAGGAAUUAGAAACCGAGUUAAAGAAGAUGGCGCCUGUUAAUGGAAGAGCAGUGCUCGUGUUUCAAGCUCGAUGUGGAUGUUCUGUUGGUAGAUUGGAAGUUCCGGGGCCGAAGAAGCAAAGAAAGGUCAAGAAGUAGGAUUUGAUAAAAACAUGAAUUAAAAGCAAAUACAGAAAACUAGUCAUAAUGCAGAGAGAAGAGUGCCUUCUCUGGUUAGUUUAAAUAAGCUCUUAUGGCUAUAAGUUGUAAGGAUUAUAUACAAUUGAUUAUAGUGGAGAAUAUAAUAAUCUUUUCUUUUAUGAUAAUUUACAUCUGUUGAUCAUUGAAGUUUGAAACUUUUUCAAUAUUAGAUUAAAAUACUUUCUUUUGAUAUGUUGAUUGCUAAUGCUUAUGGUGACUAUUCAACUAAACUUAUCCGGAAAGUGCUUGAUUCAGCAAGAUACUAUGUAGUAAAAGUUUUGGUUUGCCAUUUAGCUGAUGCCCCAGGGUGUUAAAUGCUUUUCCGCAGAUAUUCCGGACUUAUUUUAUCGGAUAUCUUCCUGGCAGAGGUAACUUCUCUUGUUUCCUUUCAUUUCUUUUCGUUUUUUACGGUUAAUUGGCAACUUAUUAUUUUUCUGUUUGUUGUCCAGCUAGUUCUUCUUUGGUUUAAACUAUGAAAUUUGAUUUUGGAACCGGAAUUCAAAAACGGUACGUGGUCUGAAACCUCAUUUUAUGUUUUAUCUAAUUUUUGUCUACAUUAGAAGAUGGAUGAGUUCUGCUUGUCUCGGUUUAGCUAUGGUUCAAUCUCGUGAGUAUAUGUAUUGUGUUUAUCAUAUGGCAAUAUGUGCUGGAUUAAUGCAAAAAUGAUGGCUUGAUGGUCCGGGUUGAGCUAUCACAAGUGGUAACACCAGAAAUUUAACAUACCGGCGUCAGGAUACAUUAGAUUCCUUGAUAUCUUCGAAGUAGGAAAUCUAGAUAUUUGGUGAAUUUAGGCAAGUAGUUGACUUUGUACAUUCUGCUUGGUACUUUAGUCUGCUGCUUUCACUUCUUAAAGCAUAUGCAAGUUCAGUGCUGUUCAAUAUAUUUGCAAAAGUAAUGGUUAUUGUAAUGUCUAUCAUUGCAGAGGUUAUAACAUCAGCAGAGUUCCACCCUGCCCACUGUAAUAUGCUAGCAUAUAGUAGUUCAAAGGGCUCAAUUCGCCUCAUUGAUUUGCGGCAAUCAGCUUUGUGUGAUUCUCAUGCCAAAUUGCAAGUGUUUUACCGUUUUUAGUUUCUUUUUGUUGAAUUUAUUGAGAUUUGCGCCAAAAAUUGAACUAUUGUUAUUAUCCUAAAGUUUAGAUUUAAACAAAAUAUGUUUUGUGAAAGUGAGGCUAUUUCAUGUAUUUGGUGAGUUUUUAGAGAAUCAUAUCUCUUUACUCAUAUUUAGAUAUGUAUUGGACGCAAGUAAGAUAUAUUUCAGUUUCAGUUAAGUUGUGCUUUAUACAAUAUUAUUUGUAAUUAUACUUGUAUAACUUUUUAAAAAAAUAUUGGCCACAAGUAUUUCAAACCAUCAAGGUCUCCCUGUUGAUAUUGUGUUUAAAAGUCUUGGCUAAUUAUUAGAUAAAUUCUGUAGCAUUGAAGUUUUGUCCGUAGCAAAUAACUCUAAUCAUAGAUCAAUGCAUUUCAAUUGUUGAUGUCUUAAACCUCAUUCCUUUGUUUGAUUUUGAUCUAGAAUAUAAUCUAGGGUUAAUGACGGUGAAUUAAACAAUUCGGGUAGUUUUGAAAUGGAAUUAACAAGAGAUGCUAUAGCUUCUAGUUUAAUGAAUUCACUCUAAAUUGUAAAUGCUAUUGUAAAAUUUUUAGUAUUUAUAUUUGGUAUAUAAAUAUGGUCCCUUUUUAAAACUUUAAUGCAAAUAUAUGUAAUAUUUUAAUUUGUUAGAUUUAUGUUUUCUAUGUUAUGUUAAUAUCUAAUAUGAGUUAUAUAUUCAAAUACAUUUUAAAAUAAAAUAAUACAAAUGUGUUAAAAACAUUAAUUAAAAAUAAAAAAUAAUUUUUAUAAUAAUACAUUCGUGUCAAUAUCUAAUUACAAAUAUUUAAUUUUUAUAUUUAAAUAUUUAAAUAUAGUUUAUAUAUUCUAAUUAAAUUUUAUAAAUAAUUAAUAUUAAUUACUUAGAAAUAUUUAAAAUUAAUAUUAUAUAUUAAAAUAUUAACAAUAAGUUAUAAUAAAUUAUUUUUUUAUAAUUUUGUUAAAAUAUCAUAAUAUUAACUAAUUUGAAUAUUAUUUAAAUACAUUUUGUUAUUUUGUAAUCUCAUGUCUAAAAUGAACAUUUUAUUCUUCAAAAGCACUUUUUAACAACAAUACUAAACACUCAAAUUUAUCAAAAGCACUUCUGAAAAAUACUUCUCAAAAGUACUUCUCAAAAAUAAUAAAGAACUGACCCUUAAUAGAGCCUCCUAUCUAGUCAAAUACUGAAUUGAAAAAAUGAAAUGAUUUUUUUUGCAGCGUUUUUGUAAAAAAAGCCACAAAAAGUAAGCAAUAGCGGCGUUUUUAUAAAAAACGCCGCAAAUAUGGAAUUUUUCAAAACCCCGUCGUUUCAAAAUAUCUUUUUUUCCCACUUUCCCUCCUCUCAGUUUUCCCUCUUCUAUUUUCAUUUUUUUUACUCUAAGAAUAAAUAAGAUUUUGAAUCUUCCACAAAUUUCUCUCUUUCUUUGUUCUUUGUUCAAAUGUAGUAACGAUUGAAUUGAGGAGGAAAAAGAAGAUUUUAAUUGCUUAAAAACUCUUUGUUUUUUUUUUUUAAAAUUGGAGUUAAGUUUGACAGACGGUUGUGCGUGGAUUCGGAGUGCAACCUAAGUCCGAUGGCUACAACUUUCAGUCCAGGUCGGAGCCUGGGGGUUCGAGGCUUCAGUUAGGAGCAGGCAGUGGAGUGUCGAGGCUUAGAUCUUCGUCGCUUAAGAAGCCACCAGAGCCGUUGCGUCGUGCUGUGGCAGAUUGUCUUUCGUCUUCUUCGCUUGCAGCGAUGGCUGGAGGAGUUAGCUCGCAUCACCAAGGGGGUCCUUUGAUUUUAACUGAAGCUUCAAGGACGCUUUGGGUUCGUAAUUUUGGUUGGAUUUAAUUUUUUUUGUUUGUUUGUUUGAUUAUUAGUAAAUGUCAGAAAUGGAUACAGUUCACUUGUUUUAAAAGAACAUCCUAGCCUAAUUUACAUCGCUAACAUGUUAGCUUCAAGUUCAGAGAAAAAAAAAAGGUAGACUUGAAAAUGCUGCCUUAAAAGACGGGGACAAAGCUAUAAUAAAUUGUAGAGAAAAAAACGACUAAAAAAAUUCUACAAGUUUAGGGUUUAGAUGCUAUGAUACCUUGCAAAUACCCUAAACAUCCUAGCCUAAUUUGUAUCAGUAACAUGUUACCUUCACCUCCUCAGCUACUAGAAAUUAUUAACAGAUAACAGCAACCUUCGAUAAUAUUUUGAAGUCUAGAUGCCGUUUGACUAUGGGUAGUAUGAAAAUGACCAAAGAAAUUACCUUGUCUUGAUAAGGUAUACAAUGGUGAAAGACAAAGCCAAAAAGAAGCACAUCCCGCCAACAGUGAGAUAAGCAAUGCCAAGGAAGUCGUUUUUUCCACCAAGCCAGCUAGUAGUUGAAAGCACUAGUUUUUUCUUGCCAUUGAAACUGUAAGUAUUGUAGUUGUUAUCCAAUGUCACAAGUAUUUGAUCAUUUGGUUGGAGAUCCUGUUCAAUCUUCCCAUACAAUUUUCUAAAUGUUGGCAGCUCAGCAGUUCGCAUCCAAACAAUGAGGUCUUUUUGCUCACUUAACUGUUAUACAGAAGGAACUGGAUAAAUUAGGCAAUAGUUCAAUGUAUGUAGGAAGGAAUUCAACAAUAAAACAAAUACUUCUUCAAUGAAAAAACUAAAUUGAGAUUUGACAUUUGAAAAUUGAGAUUUGAGUUCCGGGAUUUGACAUUUGAAAGUUCAUAGUAUUUCCUUGGUGCUUAUUCCAAAUUUUUUUUUCGAAUUCUACAUCACUAGUUGAAGAAACUAAAUAGUUAAGAAAAUAAAACAGUAAACUAAAUUAUGCCAGAUUUGAAGAUGAAAGCUUACCGGGAUAGAUGGAUCAAGUGUUGCACCACCUUCAAGGACGCUUAGGGUUCGUAAUUUUGGUGGGAUUUAAUUUUUGUUUUAACAGUGCUUACAAGUAUAAGGCUAUUGCUCAGCGAACCAAAUCCUGAUGAUGGCCUAAUGUGUGAAGCAGUAAGUAGAAUUUCACUCAAGAUAAAUUGAUUUUCUUUUCUUUUCUAUGUUUUACCUUUGCUUUUGAUAUGUUGAUGAAUCUACAGAGGAUAUCCUGUGUAUCGACUGGUUGAAUCUACAGCUAAGCACCAGACUGGUUGAACCGAUGGUUUACAUUUGUGGAGGUUGCUUUAGUUGCAACUAUUGAUGGGAAAAAUUGUGUCUAUUUGUUAACUCAAGUUAUCAUUAAAGGACAGAAUUUGUCUACUUGUUGAGGCAUAUCCUUCUUUUAUAAUUUAACCAACAAAAUAAUAGACUGGUUUGUAGGUCUCUUAGUUUAAGCACUUGUGGUUAUUUGAUGGUAAUUUUUGGCAUCCUAUUGUCAUAGAGCUAAUGCUUUUAAAAUGUGAAGAUUUGAUAUCUCAAAUGAAAGUUGUCUAGCUAUAUACCAUUUGCAUGUUAUAUUAAAGAACCUGUCUUCACUAAGCUUUGCAGUUUUCUCUCUGUUGAUAUUUGGAUCACCGCAUUUUAAUCAUUGGUUAAAGAUUUUUAUUUUCUUGUGCAGCAAGUGAUGUAGCCGGAGAAGUCGUAAAGGUUGGACCAGGAGUCACAAAUUACAAAUUUGGGGAUAAAGUUGUAUCUCUUCUUGAUCAUUUGGUAAGUUCUCAUUCUCAUUCUUAACAUUUGAAUUUCAUGAUUAGGGUUUAACAAAGCUUCUAGCAGACAAUGCGCCAAAGGCCAUGAAGGAACAGAAAUUAGAGAGCUAUUUCGGCUGCAAGAUUGCCAUCAACACCAGCAUGAGCAUUUACCGAUUUCUCGUUCGUAUAUUGUUCCCUCGAAAAGAAAAAAAAUGAAAGUUUUCUCUUUUAUAUACAUUUGAGAGCUAAGACUGACUAAUAAUGUUUUUUUUUUUUUAAAUUUUGGGUUGACUGUAGAUUGUGGUGGGUCGUAUGGGGACUGAAAUGCUCACCAAUGAAGCCGGUGAAGUUACCAGGUUUUUAAUAUAUUUUUCUCUUCAUUCAUUAAUUCUUUUUUUAUCUUACAAAACUAUCGUUAGCUGAUUCUUAUUUUAUUUUUGUACCUUUUCAAUUACAUUUUCAUUAUUUGGUUCAUAAAAUGUUUACAUGGGUUCUGCUGGCGUAAUCCAGUCAUUUGCAAGGCAUGUUUCAUUAUUUGGUUCAUAUUGUUGCUUAUUUGCAGGUAUGGUUUGUGAUUUCUUUCUCUUAUUUGGUUUCAUGAAUCUGUUUGCACAUACCUCUUUUCUACUGAAUUAUAUGUUUUUUUUGUAUUGAAUUUUUAAUGCUUCAACCAAGUAUGGUUUAUUAUCAUUCCAGUCGUAUAGUGAAUUUAAUUAGAGUGUCCAUACAGUUAAGCAUUUAACUAGAAUAGUUUGUUUGAGGAAUUUGACUGAUAGGAGAAUGAAAUAAUGGAUGGGAGGAUGAAGAGUUUACUGUAGGAUAGUUUUUCAUUAUCAAAAUAUAACUUUCUUUUGAAAUAUUAAAAAUAAAAAUCUAUGAACAAUAGUAAAAUAUAAAGUCAAAAAGCUUAAUAUUGGCAUAUAAGAUAGAUUUAGUUUUUAUUUAUUUUUACUAUUAAAAUAUUAUUAUAUUUAUGAAUUAUGAACCUUUUGAUUUUAAUUACUGUUAAAUUCUAAAUUACAAGAUAAGUAAUGCGCAUCCAAUAUUAUUAUAGCAUUUUUAUUUUUUGAUAUUAUCUAUUCUAGCUUAUCCAAAAUAUAAAAAUAAAUAAGGAUCCUAAAUGUAUCUUAUUUGUUUUUUUCCACUUGUGACUUAAUGUUUAAUAUAUUUAAUGUUUACUAUAAUAUAUUUAUUUAUUUAUCUUAUUAUUUUUCUAAAGACCUAUACUCGUGUUUUCAUUUUGUCAUGGCAACUUGUUUUUCAUGUUCAACCAAGCAAUACCAUAAUGCUCUUUGUACUUCUCUGGUUUAAUAUGCUAGUACAAGAAAUUUAUUGAAUGGAGAGCCUUAGCUAAUUUAGGCUUUUUAAUGCCAGAAACUUCUUACGUGCCAAACAUACACGGAUAAAGAAGGUAUCAGGCAGCAGCAGUUGUUGGCAUUUAUCCCAAGACAUCACAAGCACUACAUUUUACCGAGUAAGAGUAGUUGAUAGAGGCCUUCUUUUUUUCCUGGAAGCUAAUUAGUGGGUUGAAGUUUUGUAUGUUUUCUCAUUUCCAUUUCCUUUUUGUCCUGUUUCUUUGCCUCUCGUCUAUUGCAAUUUUUUCUAAGCCAGAUUUUUUCAGCAAGAAGGUACAUUUUAGUCCCCAAUUACAGACAGAUCCUAGGAAAAAUUAUCUCCAUGCUAAAUCUCGUCUUCAGCCUUCAGGUAUAGUGUUUCUUAGCAGGUAGGAACUCUUCUAUGUUAGUUGUUUUCUUAGCAGGUAUAGUGAAUUUUUUUUUAGUUUAUGUGCCAUGUGAUGAUUGUGUUUUAAAAUUUAAUUUGUUUUAGUUCCUUACAUUCUUAUAGGAUUCACAUUCAAGGAGCAAGAAACAUCUCAGAAACUCAUUGGGAUCAAGCAGUCAAAAUUCAGAAUCAAGUGACAAACAAGAGCUAGAUUUGGAGUUUAGACUGUCACUGUAAUCAAUAAAUUUUUUUGCUACUUUAAAUGCAUGCUCAUGGAACUACAUUUUAUGCUUUUCGAGAAUUGUGAGUUCAAAUAAGGUGUUGAUCUGUAAUUCAUACAACUUGAGCAAGUUGAUAUGAACUAGUUUGAAUUUUUUUUUUAAAUUUCAAAGGAAUCUUAUGUAAUCAAAGGCAAUUUGACUUCCUGCAUAAGAUAUGGUGAAAAACAUUGAUCUUCUUGUUCAUGAAUUUCCAUUUUAAUACGUCUUCAAAUUAAAUUAUACAUUUCUAAAUUGGUGGAAUCCCACUUUUGCUGCAAUCUCUAACCAAAGAAUGGAGUGCUGUAUGUAUUGAUAAUAUUUCUAAAGGAUUUGCUUAAGUAGGUAAAGGGAUAAGAAUGGAUUUGUGGCGUUUUUAUAAUAUUUUAAUUUUUUUUUACUUUUCAUGACCUUUAGCGGCUUUUUGGUGAAAGUGCCGCUAAAGGUCAUGUUCUUUAACGGCGUUUUUAUGAAAAGCGUCGCUAAAGGUCAUGUUUUAGCGGCGUUUGUGGGAGAAGCGCCGCUAAAGGUCAUGUUUGUAACACCCCUUACCCGAGACCAUCGCCGGAAUCGAGUACGAGAUUAUCCAACUUAACUUACCAAUUCGGAUCAUAAAAAUUUGUUUUUAAAAUUAAAUUCACUGUUCACAGCAAAACUAUCCAUCUGCGCGAUUGUCACUAAUUUAAUUAUAUCUCGAGUUACGAAACUCAAAAUUUAAAUCCGUAAAUUUUUCCUGAAACUAGACUCAUAUACCUUCUUACCAUAAAAUUUUUAGAAUUUUUGGUAUAGCCAAUUAGUACAGUUCUGACCUCUUGGCACUAAAAAUCAAUUAUCUCAUUGUAAAGAAUUAAUAUAAGGUUAAAAUUUAUUUCUUUUGAAAAUAGACUCACUAAGGAAUCUAGAAACAUAAAUUAUGACCUAUAAUUCUUUCUGUGCAAUUUAUAAUGAUUUUCUAAAUUCAGAAUAGGGGACUUCGAAAACCAUUCUGACCCUGUCACACUAAAGUUCGAAUAUCUCAGAAUAAAAUUCCUUUGCCUAUACCGUUUCUUUCAUGUAAAAAUAGACUUGAUAAGCUUUAAUUCUAUAUAUAUUAUUCACUCUCUAAUUCCAUUUCUACUAUUUAUGGUGAUUUUUCACAUUCACGUCACUGCUGCUGUCAAAGAAACUGCUUCUUUGUAUUAACUACCAUUUACACAUAUAUAACACCAAAACAUAAUCUUUACUAACCAUUUCAAUAGCUAAUCUUAGCAAAAUCAUAUGAACAUACUCAAAAUGAUUAAGACUCUAUACAUGCCAUAGUUUUAAACAUUCUGAAAAACACAUAAUACCGAGAUGGUUAUGAUAGUGUGAUACUAGCUCCGACGAUCCCAAAUUCGAGCAAGCUUAAAUCACUAUAAAACAAAGGAAAGAAAGAAAGGUGUAAGCUACAAUUAGCUUAGUAAGUUACAUGUAAACAAUAAGUACUCAUUUAAUAAUUGGCAUUUCUCUCAUACAACUAAUCAAACAUUUCUUAGCAAUUUCAAUCACUUACACAUGCAUAAUCUUACCCAUUUCACUUGCACAUGCACUCAUACACUUAACAUUUAUCACAUCUGCUCAUUCUUUUAAAACGUACCUGCAUACAUACUUCAUUUCAUAUUCACUUUAAUUCAUUAUUAAUCCCGUUGAACACACGGAAUAUACACAGAUACGUAGAGAUUUAGCACAUAAGUGCCACACUGAUAUGUAGCCGAAGCUACCACUGUUAUGUGGCCGAAGCUACCACUGAUAUGUAGCCGAAGCUACCACUGAUAUGUAGCCGAAGCUACCACUGAUCAAUAACACUGGAAAUGUCCACGGGCCUGCUCACACAAGCUGUCAGGUGUCUGCAACACAUGCUAGAUCACCCAGCACCCGGGACUCACUGUAGCACUGUAACACUGGUCUCUAGUGACAUGUCACUUGUAUCCACUUCUAUUCCUAAGUUCAACCGGGAAUUUACACUUAACACUUUAUUUUAAACACUUUAUCACUUGAAUAAUUCAUGAAUAAUUUUCCUUCCACAUUCAAUAUUAAUUCACAUAUCAAAUAUAAUUCACAAUUUAUAAAAAUAUAACUAUUAUUUACAUGUAACUUACUUCGGAUGCAAAACGACUAUUUUUGUAAUUUAGUCGAAANNNNNNNNNNNNNNNNNNNNNNNNNNNNNNNNNNNNNNNNNNNNNNNNNNNNNNNNNNNNNNNNNNNNNNNNNNNNNNNNNNNNNNNNNNNNNNNNNNNNNNNNNNNNNNNNNNNNNNNNNNNNNNNNNNNNNNNNNNNNNNNNNNNNNNNNNNNNNNNNNNNNNNNNNNNNNNNNNNNNNNNNNNNNNNNNNNNNNNNNNNNNNNNNNNNNNNNNNNNNNNNNNNNNNNNNNNNNNNNNNNNNNNNNNNNNNNNNNNNAACUUUAUGCACACUUUACCAUCCUUCACAAUUUAGUCCUUUUUCAACCUUUUCAUCGAAAUUCAUCUAGUAAAACUUGUAAUUAACACUUCAAACAUUCAUUAUCUAACAUCACUAAUCAAUUUACAAUUAUAUCAUGAAUGAGUCAAUUUUUAAACUUUAACUUCAUUUAAAUUAAAUGGUAGAAACAUGAAAUUCAAGCAUCAAUAAGCAUAAAAAUACGAAAAUAAUUAAAAACAGGGCAAGAAAUCACUUACAAUUGAGCUUAGAAAGAUCAAGAACCCUAGCUAUGGUGACAUGAAUUUUUUUGGCAGCAAACGUCUGAUUUUGAAGAAGAUGGACACUUAUUUUCUCUUUAUUUUGUCUUUUUCUCAAUUUGGACAAAAAUGCCCUUGAUUUAUUACUUAGAUAUUUUUUUCUAGAAUUACCCUUUUGUGUCGAUAUCACUAAUUUAUGGUCUAAUUUCCACAUAAACACUUCCAAUUACAUGCAAUAAUUCAAUUAAGUCAUUUAAUCACUAAUUAAACACACUUUGCAUUUUUCUCAAUUUAGUCUUAAAAAUUCAAUCAGGCACUAAAUCAUUAAAAUUUCCUAUCCAUCUUUUCACACAAUAUUUCAAUCAAUCGGAAAUUAAUAAAACUUUAUAAAAUUAAACUAUUUCACUUCGGGAAGCUUAUUUGGGCUAUAUAACGGAAAGCUCAUAAGAGCCAUAAUCAGGAAGCUCAUACGAGCCAAUAAUGAGUAGCUCUAAAGAGCCAUUAACAGAAAGCUCCGGAUAGCCAUAUAUCGAGAAGUUCAAGCGAGCCAUAUCGGGAAGCUCCAAGGAGCCAUUAAUCAGGAAGUUCCAAAGAGCCAUUGAUCAGAAAGUUCACGAAGAGCCAUAUAACGAGACACUCAUAAGAGCUGCGGUGUGCUCACAACACAUGCAGGAUCACAACCGAUCGGGAUGCUUUGAAGAGCUAUUAAUGGGAAGCUCAGAAGAACCAUAUUAUGGGAAGCUCAAAAGGGCUAUUAAUGGGACACUCUUUUGAGCUAUGGUGUGUCAGCAACAUAUGCAGGAUCACAACCAAUACGGGAAAUCCUGUAUCCAUUGAAUUUCAUUUAUUCAAUCGGAACUUGAUGUUUUUCGGGCAUUGUCGGAUAUAAUAUUAAUUUCAUACUCAUAGCAACAUAACAAUCACAUACACAAUGUUCAAUUCAAGCAUAUAAAUAUACACAAUUUAGUUACACAAACUUGCCUUGACAAUGUUCGUUUUCGUAGAUUACUAUUCUGAUACUUUUUGUUUUCCUCGGUCCAAUUCUGAACUAGGUCUAUCUGGAUCUAUACGAGUAAAUUUAACUCAAUUUAAUAAAAUUCACAUUCAAUUCCAUCCAAUUCACAUCUUAGGCAAAAUUACCAUUUUUCCCCUAUACUUUUGAUUAAUUAUGAUUUCGUCCCUAGGCUCGGAAAAUGAAAUUCAUGCAAUUUAAUCCUUAUUCCAAGCCGAGCCAAUUUUUACAUAUAAAAUUUGCAGCCCAUGUAGUUUACAAAAAUCAGAAUUUUUCAUAAAUUUUACAUCUUUUCAAUUUAGUCCCUAAAUCAUAAUUCAUCAAAAUUCACUUUACAAAAGUUGUUUACCUAUCAACAACCUUUCAUUUUCUACCAUAAAUUUCACAAUUCAUGCAUAAUCAUCCAUGGAAAAACCCUAGUUUGACAUCUUUUCAAAUUAAUCCCCGAGAUAAUUAGAUUAAGCUAUUACGAUAUCUGAAAUGUAAAAAUCAUUUAAAACGGGUAAGGAUACAUACCUAAUUAAGCCAACAAAGUUUGCUUGAACUCUCUACUCUUAGCUAGGGUUUCCAUGAAUUUAAUUUUGGGAAAGAUGAUGAAAAAUGAUGAUAUUUUCUUAUUUUAUUAAUUUAUCAUCUUUUCAUCUUUUUCUUUCCAAUUUAGUCCUUUUCUUUAUUAUAUUUUCCAUGGAUGAAUCAUCAUACUUAUCUACUAACUCCACUUAACGGUCUAAUUGCCAUAUAAGGACCUCAAAUUUUGAAUUCCAUAGCUAUUUGAUACUUUUAGCUAGUAGAACUCAACUUUUGCAUUUUAUGCAAUUUGGUCCUUUUUAUCGGAUUAGACAUAAAAUCAGCAAAAUUUCUUUACAAAAUUUUCAUGAAAUAUUUCAAUCAUAAUGAAAAACAUAAAAUAAUAUUAAAAUAAAUUUUCUUUCAGACUCGAAUUUGUGGUCCCAAAACUAUUGUUUCGAUUUCACUAAAAACAGGCUGUUACACCACAAAACCACUAUUCACACCACACAAUAUCUAUGCAUAGCAAUCAAUCAUCAAGUAAAAAUAAACAUAAAAACCCUAAAAUCAUGCUUUUUUAGCAAAAAUCAUCAAAAUAAUAAUUAGGGGUAAAAUCGUCAUUUUAAAUAUGACACAAAUCAUUCAUGAAAAAUUAAAUUAAACAUAAAUUUUGUUUAUAGGGUAUUACUAAAACAAUAUUUGAAAAAAAUCAACUAAAAUCGGCAAGUAAAACCCAAGUAAUUUUUAAAACAAAGGUUUAAGGACUAAACCGUAAAAUUUGGUAAAAUAUUCAAAAAAUCUUUUUGCAAAAUUAAAAGUAAAUUUAUGAAAUUAAACAUAUAAAUCUCAAUCAUGAAAAUUUUCUUAGCAAUUCAUGACAUUUAAGAACUUCAAUUUCAUUGUGUAAAAUCUAAGACUAAAAUGAAAGACUAGUAAACUUCCCCAAAGCCGACAGUUUGCCACGUUGUGACCACGCGAACACCUCAUCAUGAUGUGACCUGGACGUUGCCCCUCGUCACGAUGACACGAAAAAGGGCGUCCCGACGUUGACCCCUCAUCGCGACAUCAUAUAAAUAUCAUCAUGAUGUCACCUGCAGUUUCUACAAAAACAACUCAAAAACCUGAAUUUAACACUUUAGCAUCCAACUUAUCAUACCAUCUCAUGCAUUUGAUAAAAAAAUAUCUAUUUUAACAUGUCAUAUGGCAUACAUAGAUCAUACAAAUUGUUCUCAAUUACACUAGAACAUCUAUCAACACAUUUUAAACAUCCUAAGUAAAAGAUUAUACAAGCAUGCAAACCUAAGAUCUCAUUUCAUUUACUCAACACGCCAAAUAUGCAAAUAAUGCAUUUCGAAGUGCAAUAUAGGUUUAUUUCAUACCAUUUGGUUAUUAUAAACAUAUCAAGACAUCCAACCUACAAUCUAAGUAUUUACAUCAAGUACUUAACCAAGAGACAUAUAUAUCAAUACCAUACAAACACCACCGAAAUCAAACAUGUUCAAACAUUAUUCUCAAGCAUCAAUCAAACAUCAAAUUAAGUUAAAAAAUCCUUGUAACACCCCUAACCCGUCUCCGACGUUAUAUUAGGGUUACAGAGUAUUAUAGUACAAAUCGGCACAUUUAUCUUACUAUAAAAACAAUAGUGCAAUUUAAUUAAUAACAUUCAAUAACACAAUUUAAUUAUAGUAAACAUACACUUAUAAGCCUUAAAUCAAGCUUACGGGACCCUAAAAAUAGUUCAAAACAUUCUGGGGUCAUUGUGAAACAAAAUUGAAAAAUUUGGAAAAAAAAACUUAAAAACAGGGUCACACAGCCGUGUGGCCAAGCCAUGUGAUAUAGCUCAGGCCAUGUAGACAUUCGAAAUCUGGACACACAGCUGUGUCCCAGCCCAUGUGACCACUUGUGUGGGUAUUCGAAAUAGGGCUACAUAGCCGUGUCGUAGAUCGUGUGCCAGACCGUGUAGCAUACUGACUUGAAACACAUGGCUGUGUAGGGUGACCGUGUGUGGCACACGGCCGUUUGACACCCCGUGUCCCAGGCCGUGUGCAACAUAAGUUUCCUUUAAAACUAGCCAAAACAUUAACCUUUUUUUGCACAACAAACAUACCAUUUCCAUUCAUUUUCUUAUGGCCAAAACACUUUAAAACAUACCUAGAACAUACCAAAAUCAACCAACUUAGGUGUCUAACCAAUAUAAUUUCAAUUGACACCACAAUUUAACACCUCAACUUGACUCAAUAAGCAUAAAUCAAAUAUACCAAAUAACCAUUUCAAAGCAUACCAUUCAACCAUAUUUUACCUACUUUCAUAAGAGCAUACAUAAAUGUCAUACCAUAUAUGUUCACUUUCAUUUGCAAUUCAUCAACUAAGGACAUUAAGACACAUAUAAGCUUGGCUUAAACUCAAAACAAACCAAGUUAUCAAAUCAACAUUCAAGCCCUAUUACAUGCCAAAACACACAUAUAUCAAUUAAUCUAAAUGUCUAUCCAAUGUACCAUCAUUGAUACCACAAGUUAACAUCCAAAUUAACUCAAACUCAAUGCCAUAAUUUCAUACUUUAAAAUUACAUCACAUAUUCACCAUUUAAUUCUCUAAACACACUCCAAACGUUACUAGAUAUCAUAUUUAUAAACAUAUGAAACAUAUAAUUACACCAAGGCAUUAAUAUUCAUUAUCGAACUAUAUUAAUCAAAACAUUUAUCUCAUAUUCAAACUUAUGAUACAUAUCUCAUCUGAAACAUGUUACCUGAGUAGCGAAUGGUUGGAGGAUGAGAUACAGACCUUUCAUUACUAUCCUGUUCGACCUUUUCAUUGAUAUCUUUUUCGAACUUUUCAUUAAUAUCCUUUUCAGAUACAUCUUUUUCAACCUUUUCAUUUGAUAUCCUUUUCGGAUACAUCCUUUUCAACCUUUUCAUUUGAUAUCCUUUUCAUAUACAUCCUUUUCAACCUUUUCACGGAUUCGUAAAUACCGAAUGUAAUGCCAUGGUGUCUUUCAACCAUGGUUUUUCCCUUUUCGAUUAUAAUACCAUGAUGUAUUUCAAUAACAGUCAUUUCCUUUUCUCAAAUCAAAACAAUCAUAAUCAUCAAUACAUAAAUACAUAUAUAAAGCUAUCAAUUAAUCUUAUAAAUUCAAAUGUAAUAUUUUAAAAUGAAAUACGAACUUACCUAAUAUAUACCAACGGUUAGGUUGAGCAAAAUUCGAUUCGACUCGAAAAAAUGGAAAAAAAAUUCAAAUUUCAAAUUAUUCUAAUCGACUUAAUCGAGUCAACUUGAAUUUUUUUCAAAUUUCGAGUUCGAAUCGAGUUGAGUUUUUGAAUUUGAAUAACUCAAAUAAUUCGAAUAAACCGAAUAUUAAACUACCCCACCCUACCCCCAACACCCUCCCCCCAACUCGUCUCAUCAAUUUUUUUUACUUUCCCUUUCUCUUCAAUUUUUUUUUACUUUCCCUCCCCUUUUACCCCAAAAAUCAAAUCCCCACAAUUUUUUUAUCCCUCUCACCUUCAAAAUUUUUUUCCCUCCCCCUUUUACUCCCAAAAAUCAAAAUCCCCCAUAAAUAUUUUAUUUCUCCCCCUUUACCCCCAAAAAUCAAAAUCCUCUUAUUCUUUUUUAAUUAGUUGCUUUUAUUUGUUUACUUCAUUUUGUCUUUGUAUGAUCAUUUUUAAAAACUUUAAAGAAAAAUAUUUUAAAAAAAGAUUACAUAAAAAUAAAAAAAACACCAAAAUCAUUUUUUAAUUUAACUUGAACAAAUAUAUUUGAUUUGAUUCAAUUCGAAUUUCAUUUUACUCGACUCGAUUCGACAAAAUUUCAAAUAGAGUUAGGAUGAUAAAAUAGGAUUUGUCAACUCGAUUAAGUCGAAAUUUUUUCACUCGAUUCGAUUCGAUCAAAGGAUCACCCCUGCCAACGGUUAUAAUUUUUCCUUUUCCUCGAUUAUCCUCCUUACGAAUCAAAUCUUGAUCUAUAACAAUUAAAUUCAAUCUUAUCAAAUUUAAAUACAUAUUCCAACUCACUUUCAUGCAUAUGACCCUUAAACUUUCAAUAUUUACACAUUUUAAUUGAACUUUUACAUUUAUUUCAAUUUAGUCCCUAACCCCGAAUUUCCAAAUUUAACAAAAUUUCACAAACAAUUAUGCUAACCGAAUUUAUUCCUAUUUUAGUACAGUCCAAAUUUACUCAAAAUUCACAAGAAUUUCAUGUAAAUUUUAAUAUUUUAACAAAUUAAUCAUUUAACUAAAAACUAACUAAAAUCACUUUUCAAAAUAGUUCUAAACAUCAACCAAGACUACAAUUUCAUCACUUAAAUUCAAAAAUACCUAGAAUUCAUCAAUGGUAAAUUUUAAAAUCUUAAAUAAUUUCGAAAACAGUGGUACGGGUUAGAUGGACCUAGUUGCAACGAUAUCAAAAACAUAAAAAUUACAAGAAACCGAUAAAAAAUGACCUACCAAUUGAAGCUUGAAGCUAGGCAUGAGCUACGUCUCAUUCUCCCUGUUUUUUGAAUCGAUUAAGAUGAAGAAGAUGAAUGAAUUAUAAUUUUCAUAUCUAUUCUUAUUUUAUUUACUAUUUUAACAUAUAAUAUAAUAUUUUAUAUUAUAAUAACAUCACUUUUUAACUAAAUAAUCCCCAUUAACCGUCCAACACUAUUAAAUAUGGUAUAUUUACCAUUUAAAACCUUUACCAAUCUUUAAUUAUGCUUUUUUAGUUAAUGAAAAUCAAUAUAAAUCAAGUUUUUGCAAUUUUUACGAUUUAGUCCUUUUUCUUUAAUUAUUUAUCCAAACGUUAAAAUUUCUGAACCAAAUUUCAAUACCCUUAUAUAACCAACAUUUACAGGCUCGAUUUAUAGAAGCGAUGUCCCGAUACCUCAAUUUCUAAAAUCACUUAACUUUAGGGACAAACCACUUGACCAUUGUUAACUAUCCAAUUAACAAAAUUUACUAAGUCAAAAUUUAUUAAAACACUAUAAUCAACUCAUAAGUAUUAAUAAAUACUAUUUACGGUCUCACUCGUUGAGAUUUUGAUUUCGAAAUCACUAUUUCUGACAUCACUGAGAAAAUGGACUGUUACAAAAAUAGUCAUUAAAAGUCCAUUUACCAACCAAUGAAAUGAAAAAGUCUAUUUCCCUUAAGUAUGGCCCCACAUUGCAUUUAUUUUCAUAGCCAAAAAGUCAUGACACAUACUCAAGAGGAAGGCCUUGCUUGGAUCACUUAGCUUGCUCAUUUCUCCUCCCUAAAUAUAGCUUUCUCUUUGCAAAACAUAUUCAAGCUCAGUGAGUGCUCAAAGAUUGCCACAAUUAAAUACAUACUCCAAUUAAAAUAAAGUAUACUCAUAGCAUUUCAUAUUGAUAUAUUGCCAUUUUGUGACCAUGAAAUAUGUAUAGAAGCAUAAAGCAUUGGAUAAACGGAUCUCCAAAUACUCUAAAUGACUCAAAGAGUCUAACACUAUCCCAUAUAAGUGUAGCACGAAUUCUAACACUCUCCGAACACCCCAUGCUAUCUCGAUAAAUGGAGUGUAACACCUUUAACCUGUAUCUGUAGCUGGAUUAGGCUUACGGAGCAUUACCGUACAAUAGGAAACAUUUAACUUAAUAUCAUUCAAUAACAUAUUCAAAUCAUAAGCCAAUCAUAAACAUACAUGUCGUCCCUAAAUCGAGCCCUCAAGGCCCAAGAAAUACCAUAGAAGUAAUUCAGGACCAAUUUGAAAAGUUUAAGAAAAAGUCAUAAAAAUUUGGAAAUAGGGGUCACACGGUCGUGUGCCUCACACGGUCGAGACACACGCCCGUGUCUCAAGCUAUGUAACCUUCGAACUAGGGACACACGGCCGUGUCCCAACUAAUGUCCUAACCAAUGUACUCUCCAAGUAGGGUCACACGCCCUUGUGUUAGGCCAUGUAACUCAAUGACUUACAACCUAAGGAAUUCACCAGAAGACACACGGUCGUGUCGCCAGGCCGUAUAUCUCACACGGUUGAGUCACAUGCCCGUGUUUUAGGCCGUGUAGACCCAUAUUUACCUAAAAUCAAGUCAUUUCCAACACCAUUUCAUGUAUAAACAUUUGGAUCAUUUGUGCACACUUUCAAGGCACCAAAACCCUAUCAAAACAUACAUACAUUAGUCAUUUUAAGAGUCUUAAAUCAACUAACCAAUAUGCCCCUUAAAGGCACCAUAAAUGCACACAACAACACUUACCUAAUCAUGAAAAUUUUACCACAUUUCAAUUAUCAAAUUCUAGUUCAAAACCUUCCAAAACAUGCCACAAGCAUGACCAUUAUCAUAUCAUUCCAAACUUACCAUAAUAGUCAUUCAAAACAUGCAUCAUAAGUAACCAAAGUGACAUAAUCUAACAUGGCAUCAAAUGGUACCAACCAAGUUAACUUCCACAACUUAUACAAGCCAAACACCAACUAAACCUCAACAAAAUACCUUUACAAUUCAACCUAUACAUGCUAUUAUAACCUUAGCCAAAACAUUAAAAAACUACCAAUAUUUAUGCUAGAUAAUGUGAUAGAUCCCUGACAUGCUUCCAACCAAAUCGAGCUUCCGAUAAUCUAUAAAACAUAGGAAAUAAACUAUGUAAGUAAUUAAUGCUUAGUAAGCUCGUAUAAACUUAAACACAACUUACCAUUUCAUUUACAUAAUGUAUAUAGCAUAAUUGUAAUACUAACUAAAACCAUAAGCUUGGCAUAAUGCUUAUAAAACAUCAUCAAAUUCACAAGUUAGUACUUUUGUAUAUGGUUCAAAUGAAUUCAUCCAUAUCAAGUAAUUUACACAUGUAUUCACUUAAUUAAAUCACAAUUCCUUUCUAUAAGUUCAUGAUACAUUCCAUUUGAACACUUACCAUUUUGUUUCCUUCUCACAUCCGUUGAACCAUCUAGAAUUUCAUCGGAUACUAGGGAAAGCUCACAUGAAGUGUACUUAUACAUAACCGUAACCUUUCCUUUACAUCAUUGCUCACACGAGCUGUGAAAUGGGCUACUUACACGAGCUGUGAAAUGGGCCUACUUACACGAGCUAUAGGUUAUAAUGUAAGCUACACGAUAAUGCUCACACGAGCUGUGGAGUAUUCGCAACAAAUGCAGGACCUCAGCCAUUAGUAGGACAUUCAAGACCAACACCCAAAACAUGAAAUCCCUAAUGACAUAUCAUCUGUAUCUUACGAAUUCCUAAGGUUCAACUGAGACUCAAUAUCCGUCAAUUCAUUAUAGUAUUGAUAGAUUUAUACAUCAAUCAUUUGCAUAAUAAAUAACAUAAUAGCAUUCAAUUUAAAUGCAUAAACAUGAAAAUCAUUCAUACGAACUUACCUUGACAACUAGGGGCGUAGAAGUUAAAUCGAGCUAAUCCGAAGCUUUUGCUUUGUCUCGAUCUAGGUUCGUACGUGGUUUAUCUUGAUCUAAAUAGAUUAUUAUAUUCAAUUAAUUACUUCAAGUAUUCAAUUUAACCCACAUUUCAUAUUUAUGAAAAAUCAUUAUUUUGUCCUACAUUUUAACUUUUUCACUAUUUAGUCCUUAGACUUAUAACUUAAAAUCUAACCAUUUUAAUCUAAAUCCAUGUUAACUAAACAUGCAAGGGACCUUGAAACAACUCAUAUUUAUUAUCAUUUCACAAUAAAACCCUAAAAUUUAUACCUUUAACAAAUUAGUCCCCAAUUCCAAAUUUUAUCAAAAAUCACUUUGUAAAACUUGUUUAUCACUCAACAUCAAAAAGCAUUCAAGAACAUUCACGGCAUAACCCUCAACCUUUAACAACUUUACAAAUUGACCCCCGGGCUAGUUAGAUUAAGCUAAAAUGAUCCUGAAAACAUAAAAAUCAUUAAAAACGAGGCUUGAAAACUCACCAUGCACUCAACCAAAGCUUGACCGAAUGCUCCCUCUUCUCUAAUGGCUAAAAUAAGUUUAGGGUAUUGAAUGGGGAAGAUAAAUUUUUUUUGUUUUAUUUAGUUUAUGCUUAGUUUACCCAAUUACCAUUUUAACCUUUAAAAACUUUAUUAAUUUCAUCAAAACCAUGUCCAUAAACAUCCACUACUACCUCAAUUGGUCAAUUUAGCAUUCAAGUCCUUUAGUUUAAGGUUUCAUAACCAUUUGACCAUUUUAACUAAUAGAACUCUACUUUUACAUUUUUUAUGAUUUAGUCCUUUUUACUUAAUUAAUCAUGCAAACAUCAAAAUUUCUUAAUGAAAUUUUAAUACGACUUUACUAUAAUCCCAUAGACAUUAAAAUAAUAAAAUAAUAAUUUACUAGUUAGAUUUGUGGUUCUAAAACUACUAUUCUGAUUUCACUGUAAACGGGCUAUUACAACUCUCCCCCUAAAGAAAUUUUGGUCCCCAAAAAUCUUACCAGAGAAUAAGUUUGGGUAUUCCACUUUCAUAGCUUCUUACAGUUCCCAGGUAGCCUCUUCAAUUCCGUGUUGUUGCCAGAGAACUUUAACUAAAGCUAUACUUUUAUUCCUCAAUUCUUUAACUUCUCGAGCUAGAAUUCUAAUCGGUUAUUCAUUGUACGUCAUAUCUAGCUGAAUCUCAACAUCUGCAGGUGAAAUCACAUGUGAAAGAUUUGAUCAAUACCAUCGUAACAUUGAUACAAGAAAUACAUUAUGAAUCUUUUCUAAUUCUGACAACAAAGCCAACCAAUAAGCUACUGGUCCAUCUCUCUCAAUGAUCUCAUACGACCCAAUAAGCUACUGGCCCAACCGAUAAUCGACACUUUGCAUACAUAUUAAACACAUUACAAACUUAUCAUUUAUAGUAUUAAUCACAUUCAAACUGUAGAAAAAUUGUAGAUCUAUGAUUUUCCCCUCCUAAUACUGAAAUCUAACUAGUUAACCGAAAUAAGAGAUUUCCCCACUCAAUUUUUGUUUCUAAUCCCUAAAUUGUUUCUUAAGAUCCUAAAUAUCAUAUUAUUAUAGACCUAAGCUAUCAAAACCACCUAAUUUAUUAGAUCUAUUUUUUUCAAAAAUUUAAGCAUACAAGAUCAAUUAAAGAGGGAAAGUCUAAAUUCGUAAAAACAUUUUAACAAUCUAUAAAAUUGAGUUUACAAACCUUCUAAUUAGUUAAAAAUAAGUUGAAAAUCAAUUUAAAAUAGCAAGUUAACUUAAUAUUUCGAGUUUCACCAUUUUAAGCCAAUUUUUGGUUUGAAAGCUUUAGAUCUAUUAAAAUCUCAUAAUAGUUAAUCAAAUUUUGAAUUAUAAAAAAAAGAAGAAGCCUAUAUUUAAAAUAAGAAUUAUAAUAUUAUCUUAAUUUGAGAAGAACGAUGAAGUGUAGAUCUAAUUCAAUGAAACACGUUUGAAGAACAAUGAAAAAAUUGAUAAGGAAAACAUGAAUUCUCUUUAAAAUUGAAGGAAGAAUUGGUGUUUGGAAGGUUAGAAAAUCAAUAUGGAUGAAUUAAUUUUGAGAGAAAAACUCAGAUUUAGAUUUGAGAGAAAUUUCAAAUGGAUGAUGAGAAGAGAGGGAAAAAUAGGAUUGGGGGUUUAAAUAGGCAAGUGGGAGACUGAUUUUUUAAAUUUUGGAAAAAUUGCCUUUUAAAAAGUUUCAGUUUUCACCCUUUUUCAAAUCAGUCCUUAUUUCAAAUUAAAACCCAUUUCUUUAAUUAUUUUCAAAUCUAAUUUCAUUUUAAAAAUUUGUUUUAAGAAAAUUAAUAGUCGAACACUUAAUUUUAAUUUUCCAGCCUAAAUUUUAAUCUCGAUUAGUUUUAUAAUAAUUUUAUUUAAUUACUACGAUCUUAAUUCCAGAAUCCUGUCCACUAACCUGAAUUUUAGGAUGUGACACCACCAAUCAAUUUUGAUCCAUAUGGUAACUUUACAAGAUCCAAAAUGUCAUUAUCCUCCAUAGACUUCAAUCUAUUUAUUAGAGUUUUGACAUGACUAAACUUGACUAAAAGUGAUAGGAUUAUCUUUUAGUCCCUUAUCAGAUUCAUGAUUAUGGAGAUAAAUGACAUAUUCAUUCGAAAUUACCUUUCCCUUUUCUUUGACUAAUAUUUAUCUAGACACAUAAACUUGAGGCUAUUGAAAAAUGUUAGGUAAAGCUACUUGAUCACUUUUAGCUAUAAUCGUAGCAAGAAUGUUAAUAAUUCCUCUUCAAACACAAUUUACCUAUUUUGAUCUCUGUUAUUGUAAUCAAAAUCGUCAAUAAACUUAAUAUUCAUUAUCUCCAAAAUAGGAUACAUUUGAAGGAUCAUAAAACAUGAAAUCAUGCAACCUUUCAAAGUAACCAACUAAUCUGUCGUAAUUUGAUAUGUUAAAUUAGGCUCUCUCAAUUACUUAAUGAGCUUGUUUUCAAGUAAUUUAUGAUUUUUUAAAAUGGUUUUUUUAUCAAUUCUUAGAUUUUAGUGUUAAUGAUAGGUUUUCUUAUAUUUUAUCUCUUUUGAAACCCAAAUUAGAAAAACUAUGUUGUUGGGAGUCUAAUUAUUGAUUUGAGCUUGUGCAGGAAGAUGACUAUGGCCAAACCUUGAAGAAAAUAUCAACUACUUUAGGUAUCAUGACACUAAUACGUGUGAGUUGCGACAUUGAUCUUCCAUCACCUUAGGGGAUAAAAACUUCAACGAGAAACCAACCUAGAUCACUCUUCCAAGGAUGUCACAACACCAGGUGUGUUGUGUCGUAACACUGAGCCUUAUGUUUUGACUCCAAGCCUUUGAGGUCACGACUCCAUUAUCGAUAGUUGUAGUGAAGGGUUGAAGAACUAAUAUGUAUGAGAAAAUAAAAAAAACUAAUAGUUCUUCAAUGAAAUUUUUGAGAUUUUAUUUUUUCUAGAUGUUCUAUACAAAAUUUUCCAUUUUUAAAAUAAUUUUGAGUUUUUUUAAUAUUUUUUAUAUAGAAUCAAGUUCAAAUUGAUAAAAAAUAAAAUUUGAGGACUAAAAUUGUUAUUAUACCAACUAAAAAGUGUCACUUAACAGUCAAGUGACAAAGAAAAAAAUAAUUUAAAAAACCUUAGUGACCAAAUUAUAAAUUUUUUUUAGUGAAGUGACCAAAACUAAAACUUAUCUAUAGUUUAGUGACUAAUGUUGUAGUUGUUGGGACCACCGGUACGCCCCGUAGGCAGCAAAAAAAAUUCCAGCGAUCCACAUCCAUGGAUCCAUGUACGAGGAACGAUACAGUUUGAGAUAAGGUUGAAUAUAUACCUUCUUAACCGAAAACGAUAAGAGGGUGUUGCUGAUUUGAUGUUGAUUUCAAGCCACAAUGAAAACGUUACAGCCUCUACGUAGCCAACCCGAUAUUAAAAUGAACGGAGAAACUCUCUUGGAACUAUUCCAGAGAAAAAUAUCCCAAAAUGGCUGCUAGACCCUUUUUGUAAAUUUUCUUUAAAAAAAAACACUUACCCUAAUUUGGGAUUUUGGUAUGCAUAUAUUGAAAACAAAAUAAAAUCUUAUACAAAACAUGUGGGAAACAUUAAACAUGUUAUAUUCUUUCCAAAAAGAAUUAUAACAUAUGAAAGUAUUUAAAAAAACGUUAUAUUCUUUCCAAAAAGAAUCAUAACUACCAUGUUUCAAUGUUUGACCGAAAUCAUAAUAAUAAUUUAUUAUAAUAAUUUCAGUAAACUAUAUUUUUUUUAAAUUUAUAUGAAUAAAAUUCAUAUAUUAAUUUUAACUAUUUUCUCUAAUUAAAUUAAUUCAAUAAUUACUUUAAUUCAUGUGACAACUAAACACAAUACCAAAUGUGUUUCGAUUUUGUUCGUCUUAACCAUAGGGUGUGACCUUGUAGGUUCUUGUAACGUUAGUAGUAAUACUUGAACAUUUAUAAUAAUACAAGUAAUGAGUGGCACCUAGCAAUGCAUCAUUGGUACCUAAGUUACAAGAUGUCGUAAUUCGACAUGACGUUUCUGUGAUAAUUUUUUCAUGUAUUCUAUCCUUUUAUAUUUAAUAUCUAGAUUGGGCAUAAGUCAAUAAUAGUCACACUUAUAUAGUCCAAUUUCAUAUUUCCUGAUUUUCUGAGUAGGCUAUAAUAAACAAAUAAGUGUGAUAUCUCAUAUCAACUUAUUCGAGCAUGACCAUGCAUUUCUAGUCUCACUCCAUCAAGAGGCUUAAGGUAUUGCUCUCAUUAUAUAGGAGGGAUAAAUUCUAUCUUGAUCAACCAUAUCCCACUACAUAGAUUGUGGUAUAUCCAACAUCAAUCUUUAUAGUACAACCUAUUACAGUAGGCGUUUGACUAUAUCAAAAUAUACGACUCACGAUGUUAGACAAUGAUGAUCUCAAGUUUGAGAAUCAUAUACAUAGUUAUCACUAUGAGUAGUAUUGUGACUAUUACAUAAUAAUCCAAGAAACAUACUCAUAGCGGGUCAAUCCAAUAUGUUGUUCUCUAACACAUACUCAUGUAUUGACUUUUACAUCCCUAUGUCAAUGACAACUUUUUGUCAUCAAUCAACUACACAUUAGUCUCAAUGCAUUAUUGUUGUCCAUGCCCACAAUAAUACUUGACUAAAGACCUUUUAAGAAUAAUCAUAUUUUCUUAGGACUUUAUUACAAUUCAUUUUAUUUAUAUACAUAGAAAAAGAAACUGAAAUAAGAACAACAAUGCAUUAUAUUAAUAAAUAAGGUAAAACAAGUAUGUAACUAAAAUCAUUAGAAUAUUUUACAAUCAUUAUAUUAAUAAAUAAUGCAUUAUAUUAUUUGGUAUUGUGUUUACUGGUUCGAUUAGUAAAAUAUUGUAUGUGACACUCUAAUAUUAUAUAUCGUCAUCACCUGCAAAUUUAUAUAAUUUUUUAAUUUUCAAGUGAUAAUAUGACACAAUCUCAGAAUGUCACUGUAAGCUUCCUAACCCGGCCUAGACAUUAUGGCUAAAUUGAGAAGGCUACAUUAGCCACCGAAAUGGCUAAGCUAACUUACAUUACUUUUGAAGACAUUAAAUAAACUCAUUUUAGAGAAAAACCGUAUUUGCACUUGGAGUUAGUUUAAAAGAGUUCAUUAUUAGAUAAUCUAUACUUAAGACUCAUUUUAUUAUUGAUAGUGUUGUUUAAGAAAAAAAAUUGUUUGCUUGUCACUCUUCUUUGUAAAAACUCGAUGUUAAACUAAUGCAGCGGAAAAAUCAUUUUUCAAUUCAGUUUGGAAACUUAAUUACCUUAUCGAUUUUGUUUUAAAAAACGAUUCAUUUGCAAUGUAAUGGAAAUUAGGGAACAAUGUCAAAUUUUACUUAAGCUCGAUAUCAUGUAUUUUUCGGUUAUUAUGCUUAAACCAUGCAUGCAAAAAUCCCCAAAAGAAAAGUUACCAAGCCACAUACCAGAAAUAAUUAAAAAUUACAAGACAAAACCAAUAAAGACUUAAUAAUACUUAUUAAGAAUAGUCUGAGGUCCAAGGUGAUUCUCUCUGAAUACCAGGUCUGAUCUUAAUUUCGAGGUUUACUUGGAAAGUUAAACACUAUUGGGGGUGAGCUUAUGGAAGCUCAGUGUGAGUGGAACAAUUAUUUAAACAGAUGUAAUUAUCGAAUACAGUGAAACAUAUUAGCUUUAAUAGAAGAACAUAGAACCAUCAUUGGAAUUUCAUAUCAUUACAUGGUCAUUAUCAAAUUGAUGUCAAAUGGUGUAUGAGCAUGGGUCAUUAUUAAUUUUAAUACCAUUCAAUACAACACAAUACAAUAUGUAGAAUAAAUCAAUAACAUUCAAAUAUGUCGUGAGCAUGAUGCAAUGCAAAAAGGUUCCUACCCAUACCAUCCGUUACACACCAUGAGUUCCCCAUAACCCGUCUGCCAAACUCCAACAAAUGUGAGCAUAGCUCGAUAUGGUAAAACCAUUGAAUAAUCAAUAAUGCAGAAAAUCUGUCGGAUAUCAAAUAAUGCGAUACAAUCGCCAAUCCCCUCGGUACUCUAGGUGCAGUGCACUGACUACAUAUAUAAAUGUGAACUUAAUAUACCAUUGGUACUCCACGAAACUCCUCUGUCAACCACAAUAUAUCCCAUCCCAAUACAAAUGCAAUAUGUCACACAAAUUCGUCCAUAAUCAUAUCUCAAUACUUUUCACAUUUAUUUGACAAAUUCAACAUGCCCCUCAAUAAUCACAUACUUUCAGUAAAUGGAAAUAGUGUUCCAACUUUCAAAUUAUCAUUAAGAUGAUAUCAUUCAACAUUACACAAUUUUACAUACUUUUACAAUUUUCCAAUGUACAUGUAUAGCAACCUUUCCAAUAUAACAUAGCAAACUAUCCAUGCAAUUAUAUCAUGCAUAAACUCAUAUCUCAGCAUAUCAUGCUAUAUAUAUAAUCAAUCUCAUAUCAAAUAACACAAUUAUGCAUCACAAUACCAUUCACACAAUCACAUUGUCAAACUAGCAACUUUGCUAACAUAUCAAUCUUUUAGGGCUUGAAAUGUACCUGGUUCGGCCACUUACAAAAUUAAUUAUUUGGCUAUUAAGCCAAUCCAACUAGCAAGCUAAAUCAUCAAAUAUAUCAAAAAAAUUAUCAUUUUUAAUUAAGUUUUUGAGUUUAGGACCCACACCUUAUUUUUCGCUUUCUCACAGCACACUAGUGAAUCUUCCAAUUUUCCUUAAUAAACCUUAAAACGAACCUUAGUAAAAAAUCAGAAUAAAUUCCAUCAAUUAAUUUCUUAACCAGCCCUUAAACACCCACAUAUGGGUUCUAACCAAUUGUCAAAAUUAUUACUAUUUUACGAAUCCAAACUAGUUAGAUUUCUUAUAUUAUUUUGUUGUGAAUCGUGCGCGCGAAUGUCUUUCGGCUUUACGGUUGAUUUGGGGUGUUCUGCUUAGCAACUAACACAAUUACAUACUGGAAAAUAAGUAACUAAUAUUGAUUAAAAUCCCUCAUUUAAUCAAUCCAUAACCUUUUCCCAACAACUUUGUUGAAACAACAAACUAGUUUACAAUUAAUCGCACUUACACUUCCCGAAUUGUGAGAUCCGAAUGACUAAUUGAUCAAGAACGUCUUUCCCUAAUUAGCAUUUUAUUAAAGGAUAAUUAGGAGGGUUCAAGAACUCAAAUUAAUUCUGGGAAAAGAUGGGCAAGAACCAAGAAACAAAACAACCCCCUUUCUUGAACAUUGGCGCAUGCACCAUCACUCAUGGUGGUCAAAUUCGGGACUAAUUUAAAAACGAUUUAAAGAUCCAUUAAAAAUUUGGAAAAAUACCUUUAAAAUAUUUAAAAUUUCCCUAAAUUCCAGAUUUGGAAAUUUUGGUUUUUAAUUGACAAAAUUAAUCAACAAAUUGAAGAAAGAAGAUAUCUUACACAAGCGAAUUGAGAGAAACGACAAUGGCACUUUCUUGGCAAUAUUCAAGAUCGAACUUGGAGUUCAAGUUUUCAGAUUUGGGGCUAAUUUUAAUGACGAAAAAUACUAGCAAGAUAGUGGACAAAAUGUUAACAAAUCUUUAGACAAAAAAAAAAAGAAAGAGUUAGUAAAACUAGGUGUAGGCGACAGCAACAAUGGAGGAAGAAAGAAAAAAAGUAAAGAUAAAGGAGGAGAGGAGACAGGAAGAACAUCUAGGGUGAGUAAAAAUAGAAUAAAUGAUGAUUGUUUUGUGUAAAAUUAACAUUUAUACCUAGGGUUGCAAGGGUAUGGAUGACACACACAUUAAGAAUAAGGGAUUUUGUAAAAAAAACAUAGUUAUUUUGCAUGGGAAAGGAUUCAAACUUGGGACCUCAAUUUAAUUUUCAUGCUUUUGCAUGAUCAAUUAACAUACAAGGGUUUGAGGCAAAAUUAGCAAAAUAAUAAAAAUGGUGAGAGAAAAAGGAUCUGAAUUUGGGUUUCAAGGAAUAUUUCACUAACAAUUAUCCAACAAACCAAUACCUCAUUUAUUCCUAAAAACGCAUAGAUAAUCUAUAAAAUUAGGGCAUGGCCACUCUCUCUUGAUUCUCAAACCCGAUUCUACUAACCCUCAAUUUUUGGAAUGUUACAGUUACGCCAUCAAACUUUUAUAUUUUCCAAGCUUAGGGGGCAAAAUAAUCUAAUUGCCAAAUUUAAGUACCAAAAUGAAUAAAAAAAUACAAGUACCUAAAUAAACCUAAUUGAGAAGUUCAAUGAAAAAAAGUUUUAUUAUCCCAUUUAAUUAAAAGCUUCUGAAUCUAGUUUUAUCUAAGAAUAAUUGGGCCGUGUGAUUUUGGAUUGAAUAAAGUUCUUCUCUUGUUUUUUUAGCCCAAAAUAGGAAAGCCAUUUUAAACCCUAGUUAGGGAACUAACUACGUAGUUUUAGAUUUCUCAGAAGAAACCCUCAGCAGCCGAUCUCCGAAUCCAGAAACACCAACUGAAACAUAACAACAAAAAUGGCGGCCGGCAAGAAGACGGUGAAUACCCAUUUGUUUCUCCUCUUUUAUUUCUUGAUCUUUUUUCAAAAUGUAAAGAAAGAUAAAAAAGAAUUUUAAAUAUUUUUUUUUUCGUUUUCUUUUGGAUUGAGCAGAAGAAGACCCAUGAAAGCAUCAACAACAGGUUGGCUCUCGUCAUGAAGAGUGGAAAAUACACUCUUGGUUAUAAAACAGUGCUUAAGUCUCUAAGGUCCUCCAAAGGUUCUUCACUUUUCUCAUUUUUGUGUUUGGGUCUACUUUGGUUUCUUCAAUUUCUUUUAUCGUUUGGGUUCGCUGUUUGAUGAAAGGAUGUAAAUUUAUUUGUUCAAUGACGAAAAUUUGGUGUUUGUUGAUACUUGAUAGGGAAACUGAUUAUUAUUUCCAACAAUUGUCCACCUCUGAGGAAAUCUGAGAUUGAGUACUAUGCCAUGCUUUGUAAAGUUGGGGUGCAUCAUUAUAAUGGAAGUAAGUGUUUUCUUAUUUUCCUGUUGCUUUGCAAAGGCCUUCCUGUCAUUGCUCUAAUGCUUGUAAUUAUGGAUUUAUGGAAUGGUGGAAAUUGAUUUAGUUUAGCGUCAUGCAUUUCUGCUAAAUUGCUUACCUUAAUGUUGAACGAGUUAUAGGUUAAGAGGCAAAGUACUUGCGUUCAAGUCUUCUGCUAACUCCCAUCUCAGUUUUAAUCCCUGGACUACCUUAAACUCGAUGCCUUUCCCUUAUAAAAAAAAGGGGCUACUUUAGUGGUUUUGAGUGAUUGUUUCUUUUGUCCAACUUUGAGUGAUUGAUAUCUUAGGUUACUAGCCACUGAAUAAACUCUAAAUUUAAAAAGAAAAAAUGGGUUUGUAUGAUACGCGGUGUUCAUUAUAGAGAUAAGCAACAGGGUAGGGUGGGCCUGAUUUUUGCCCGCCAUAAUCCCACCCUGAACCUUUUCCACUCUGAUUUGACCCGACCUGAUUUACUCUUUAGGAAAAAAACCCUCCCCGAACCUGAUAGGAGAGCCAAUCCCGACCCAACCCUAAUUUGAUCUCAUUUUAAUAUUUUCCAUGUCUUUCUUGAACUAUUUGCUUGGAUAACCAAACAAAACCCUGAUUUGAACUAACCUCAAAUGCUCUUGCAAGCUGCAACAAAGACCCUGGCAACCUUAGAACCGUGUAAUAGAAGAGCUGUGCACUAAAUUCUGGUCUUUCUGCAGUCGUUAACAGGUUUAAGUGGACGAUUAGAUAGCUAUGAUAACAAAUAAGCAAAAUAAGAAAAGACAGUCUAACACCCAAUUUCAAAAAAAAAAAAAUCUGACUCUAAUGGUUUGGGUCGGGUUAGAACCUGUCAGAUUUGGGGUAUUUUUUUUGCGAUUCCUAGUUCAUUGUAUGUAUUUGGUCAUCUUUUGGCCUGAAUAUGAUCCCAAUGUAUUUGAUCUUACAAUUUCUGAUUAAGGUUGUGUUUGGAAGUCUCAGUUGGAUUGGCAAGCUUUCUCUUGAAUGACCUAACUCUUGCAAUAUUUCUCAUUUGCUAUCUGGAAUUCUUCUAGGUUGUGGUUGAAAACUUAAAUUUCAAAAGAUGGAUUUAGAUGUCAAAAAUAGUUCUAUUAUGUAAGAAAACACAUUUAAUGACUUAUUUAUGUCCAUUUUGGCUGAAACUAUUGAGUUAGAAUGGGUAAUUUUUGACAAUUUUUGACAAACAUGGCUGAUUGAUCUUACGAUUACUUUAGCUAGUUUUUGCCUGGUUAAUAGUUGAAUGUCUUGAAGCUAAUCCCUCUUUAAUUCCCCAGACAAUAAUGAUCUGGGAACUGCUUGUGGGAAGUACUUCCGCGUAUCCUGCUUGAGUAUAGUUGAUCCAGGUAAAACCGAAUUUUAAUUCCUUUGAAUGCCGGUCUUUACAAUUUGAUAAUUGCAGAUUUCAAACUGCUCCUAUUCUUUGCUCCACAGGUGAUUCUGACAUCAUCAAGUCUCUACCUGGUGACAACUGAGUCGUUUGACAGCAGAACAAUGUUUGUUUCUUAUUAUAUUGUUCCUCGUAGCCUUCUUAUCCUUAGUUAAAGAACAAUUACUGUGGAUGCUCUUAGCAAAAUUUGUAGCUUUGAAGUACAAAAUUUUGUCUGGUUAAUGAAGACAAUGCUGGUGGGCUUUCGUUAUAAAGUUGAAUCCUUCUCUAUAAGAAAUGGUGCUUUGUGAUCCAGCCUUUUAUUACAGCAAUUUGAUUUUGUAUUGUGUAGUGCCAAAUUUCUGGAAGAAAUAUAAAAUUAAAUAAGUUCUUUAUCUGUAUUCCUGUCCUGUUCAUACUUCCUAGUAAUUUGGGUUAAAUCAUUUUGAGACCUGAACUUGACAAUUUUUCUUACUUUAAAGUUUGAACUUUUUUUUUGUCUUAGGUAGGUAUUGAAUUUAGCAAUUGUUUCUACAUUAAAUGUCUUGAACUUAACAAUUGUUCUUAUAUUAAGGCCUGAAUUUUUUUUGAAGUUAAUCUUUGAAAACUCUAAAAUUUAGGUUUUAUGUGGGUACAAUUGUUAAGUAUAGGGAUUAAUUUGAAUAAAAAAAAUUAAGCCUAAUGUGAGAAUAAGUGUCUAGUUUAGGCUCUAAUAUGGAACAAUUAUCAAGUUCAGGAUUGAGUUCAAGUCAUAAUUAAAGAUGUCAAGUUUGGCUUAAAUGGUGAUUUAAAUUUUACUUCUAUCCAAAAUUUAGUAUUUGUUAAAACAGUUCAAAAUUAAGCUUUUAUUUUUAGAGACAAAAAGGGAAGCCUUUUUACUCCUGCAUUUGCGGUUGUACACGUUAGUCUGGUUUAGAUUAAUCUGAAUUGGAUUGGGUUCAGAUUAGAGUUUUAUAUUUUGGAAGGGUGUAAACUUUAAUUAUUGUUUUCUCCUUGAUUUAUUAGACAAAUUUUAAGAUAAAAUAAUAUUUGUAUUUAGAUUUAAUUAUAAAAAUCAAUGGUUAAAAUGUUUUAAGUGUUGUAAAUCCAUCGAGGAUGUCCAUCACUUCAAAUUUAUCCUAUUGUAAUUUUUAAAAGAUAAAUUUCAUAACUCUUAAAUUUAUUAUCUUGUAACCUUUAAAUCAUUUAUAGGGUACCGUAAUGUUGGUCUUUAAUGCUUUGUAACUUAUGGUAUUUGAAGUCCUAUAAAUAGAGGGCAUGUACAAGCUUAAGCUUAUCGUAUCAAGUGAAAGUUGAAACAUCCUUUCAUUUAUCUAUUCUUAUCUCUUAUUCAUUUGAUAAUUCUCUUAGUUCAUAAUACGCUUUUAGCAUGAACUUGCUCAAAGUGAGUUAUUUUAUUGAAGAUCAAAAUUACCCUCCAUGAUUUUCAAGAUAUUAGACAACAAGAUGUUAAGUUUUUACAAGAAGUUUCUUUUAUUUAAUGUUUCAUAUCUAAUUAAUGUUUUUUUAGCUAAUUUAUGAUCAAUUAUAAUUUUCUUUGAUUAACUUAUUUUAUUUUUAUGUUCUUAAAAAUGGUGAAAUAUUUGAUAUCAAUAUCUAUAUGAAAUUAGGAAAUAAGAUUCACUCUCAAACUUUCCUAUUGAUAAAUUUUAAAUAGAUACUGAAGUUUAAUUUGUUUAUUUGAUAAAAUAAUCAACACUUAACGUUAAACAAGAAAUGUACAUCAACUUAAUUAGAUCUCUAGCUUUACACUUUUUUUCAAUGAUAGCAUCUUUAAAUAUUAAAUCAGCUUGAUAUAUGGUUUAAAUAUUUGAGAUGGUCUUAUAAGUUUUAUUUUCAUGGGUUACUUAUUAUUUUAAGCAUCUUAUUUGUUCAUGAAAAUGAAUAUUGAUUAACUUAUUAAUGUUGUUGUAGUGUGUUCUAUAAUUAAAUAAUAUAUUUGGCAAAAACAUAUUUAUGCAAAUUUGUGUUGAUAAAUCAAUGAAUUUUAUGAUUAUUUGGAUUUGAUUUAGUUCAAAUAUAGAUUAUGUUGCUCUUAUGACUCUUCUUAAUUUUAUUAUACAAUUUAAAAAUUUUCAAUACUUAUACAGCGUAGUUCUAAAGAUAAUUUGAGGAAUGUCUAAAUUAAUUUUUGGGUUGAUUCUAAUACAGAAUUUAAAGUUUAACUGUUGUCAUUUUUAAUUCUUGAAUUAUUUUGGUUGAAAAUAUUUUUAUAUACUUAAAAAUGAGAAUUAUUAUAUUAAUUUGACCAUUGACAUUUCAAUGGAUCUUGUUUGUCUUAACCGAUUGUUGUUUGAUAAGAAGUAUAAAAAAACUAGUGUGGUUUGGUUUUGUAAUUGCCUUAUUCCUAUUAUACAACAUUAAGAAACUUGUUGCUUUUGUAGAGAUGUUAAAGGUAGUUCAUACGCUUUUGUAUUAUUCCAUUUAUUUAUUAUUUAGAGAAAUGAUAUGAGCAAUUAUAAAUAAAAAUGUUUUAGUGAAUAUGAAAUGUAUUAUUUUGAAGUAAAUUUCAUGCAUGUCUACAAAGGUUUAUGAAAAUUUUGCUAGCACUAGCAUUAUAUCAGGUUUGAUAUUUUAAAUGUCAAUUUUAUCUAUACAUUUGAUUUAUAAUAAAUUCCGUGCAUGACUUGACUAUUUCUAGUUAAUUGAUGAUGCAGAACUCUUGUGAAAAGAGUUUUAAAAGUAUUCUGAAUUGAUCUCAAGCCUUCUUACGGCUAAACAAAAUAACAAGUUGUUCAUUCCAUUGGUUUUGCUACAUUCCCCGAAAUAAAUGUUCCAAUACAUAACAAUUACGAAAAUGGAACAAAUUGUCAUUAUUGACAAAUAGAUAAGAACAAGAUGGAUGAUUUGAAAUGUUACUAAAUGUUUAUUCUUAGAAUAGAAUGAUCAAUGAUUUAUACUAAUUAAUCAUUCCUUGAAGCGGAUGAUAUCUAUUAUAAUCUUAUUAGUAAGGAAUAUGAUAUAUGCUUAUAUUACUGUCUAAAUUAUUUUUUGCACAUUCCUUGAAAUGAAUGUUUGUAAUAAAUAUAAUAAAUUUUAUAAUCACUUUUGAUCAUUAAAGUCAAUUUGGACAUUUGGAGAUUUUGGCAUAUUCCUGAAGUGAAUAUUGCAUAUAUUUGUUACCAAAUUAUAUUUCUUUUGUUGACUUAAUGACAUUAUGGACUUCACAUUUAUUUAGACAUUUCCAAAAGUAAAUGUCAUAAUACUGCUUAUAUAAGGAUACAAAAUAAAAUGAAUGACAGUAAAAUUAUCAAUUGUCACAAUUUAUAUUGACAUUAUUAGUACAAUUGAAAAUCAUGUUAAAGUAAACCAAAAGUUUACUGAUACAAAUAUAUUUACUACUUGUUGUGAUUAGUUAGACCAUCAUGGAUCAUAUAUGAUGUGAAAAUUAUUUGAGAAUUCAUAUGGACAUUCAUUAAAGAAUUAGAACAUUCUUUAAUUUAAAAUAAUUUUCAUUUGUUACUUUUCCUCAGUGAAAAUUGAUUAUUAGAAACUCACUAGCUAAAGUUGAGAUUUAAUGUCUUACAUUUAUGAAAUAAAUGUGGGUCCAUUCAUUCACUAUGUGGAUGAUUUUGAUAUUAUAUGAUUUUGGUAUAUGCAUCUACAAAAUAAUCACAUAUGUGAUAUAAACUCAAAACCUAUCAUUUGCGAGAUUCCUUGCUUAAAUAAUUAAUUUCAGAUUAUGCAAUUAAGACAAUUCAUAUUGCCAAUGCUGAUGAGUUUAUAUCUUAAGCUUUUAUUAAUUGUUGUAUAUGAGUUGGAAAUUUUUUUUUGUAAAACUUGUUAUUUAUACGCGUAAUGGUUUAGGGAAAUUAUUGAUUGAACGUUUCUGAUUAAUAUCUAAACCAUUACUUAUAAGAACAAAGCUUCAUAUUUAAAUAUGAUAUUAUAUUGAUUUACGUGCAACGUGCUACAACACUUGUACGCAUCAAGUCAAUAAAAUAUAAAAUACUCCCCAUUACAAUUGGCUAUUGGUCAGGAGUUAAAAAUUUCCCAUCUUUGAAUUUUUUAUGUGUGUAUAUGUUCUAAUUGCUUCACCACAACACACAUAGAUGAGUCCUCAUAAAAGGUUGGGAAUGUACAUUGAUACGAGUCCCAUUAUAUUAAUAAAUAUUUUGAGCUAUUAAUUAGAGGUUUAGUUAUGACAUAAGUUGUCAAUUAUUAUGUGAUAAUUUUCCUAACAUUAGGGCAAGAGAAUAAAAAGCUGGGUGAAUAAAAUACUUGGAAUGAAUUAUCAGUAUCUAAGAUCUUUAUACAAAGCAAUAUGACCCAGACGUUCAACAAAUAAUUCAUUUACAAAUAAAUUGCUAAAUGCAUUUAUUGACCUAAUUAGAAUAACCAAAUGUUAUAUACUAGCUAACGUUUUAAUUUGAAUUUAAGUCCUAGUAGGACAACUUAUUAAUGUAAACGAAAGCAAUGCAUGCCUGAAGCAUAAGAUUGAUUGGUUCCAAAGAUAAAAAUCCUCGUAAAAAGAGAGGAGAAAACAUUCAAGAUGGUCAAAUAGUGGAGGUGGGGGUUCCUGAAGAGAUCCAUGACAUAACUAAUUAUAAAACUCAAGAAGAGAUUCUAGUACCUGGAAGUGAAAAUGAAAAUGAUUAAAAUAAAGAUAUCUUGAUAAGUUAUGUCAAUACGAGAAAAUAUGGAACCAAAAAAAAAAAAAAGUUCAUGACCAUAUUUUUGCUUAUAAUGUUGCUAUUGGAAUAACAAAAGAAAUGAGGAUCCUAAGCCCAAAUUUGUUGAGGAAUGUAGAAAUAGAAAGAUUGGUCAAAAUGGAAAGACACAAUUCAAGCAGAAUUGAAUUUAGGGGUGAGCAAAACUCGAUUCGACUUGAAAAAAUUGAAAAAAAAAUUGAAUUUCGAGUUAAACGAAUCGAGUUAUUAGAAUCAACUCGAAUUUUUUUUUCAAAUUUUGAGUUCGAAUCCAGUUGAGUUUUCGAAUUCGAAUAACUCGAAUAAUUCGAAUAAUUCGAAUAAUUCGAAUAUCAAACUAUAACAUUUUACAUUUUUAACCCAAACUCUCAAAUCUUUUUACUUUUCCCUCAAACUUUUACUCCUUUCUACUUUCCCCCAAAAACUUUUACUCCCCUACCCUCUCAACCCUCCAAUCUACCCAAAAUCCAUUUCCCACCAAAAUUUUACUCUCCCAUUUAUUUUUUCUCAAAAUUUUACUCCCCAAAACCCUCAAAAUAUUUUAUUUNNNNNNNNNNNNNNNNNNNNNNNNNNNNNNNNNNNNNNNNNNNNNNNNNNNNNNNNNNNNNNNNNNNNNNNNNNNNNNNNNNNNNNNNNNNNNNNNNNNNAUAGUGACAAGAAUCCGAAGAUAAUUGAAACAACUAAGCAAGCAAAGAAGCUAACCAGUAUAUAAAAAAUUAAUAAAUAAAUUAUGAGGUGAUGAAAGUUAAUAAAAAAUUUGAUUAAGGUGGACAAAUUUUAUUACGAUAGGUGAUAGUGGUUACAAGGACCCAAAAUUAUUUUUUAAAAUUUAACUCGAACAAAUAUAUUCGAUUCGAUUCGAUUCGAAUUCUAUCUCACUUGACUCGAUUCGAGAAAACUUUAAAAAAGUUAGGGUGAUAAAAUGAGAUUCGAAAACUCGAUUAACUCGAAAAUUUUCGAUUUGAUUCGAUCGAAUGCUCACCCCUAAUUGAAUUCACUUUAUAAACAUGAGGUUUUUGGACCUGUAACCCAAACAUAUAAAUAUAUAAAGUUGGUAGGAUAUAAAUGGGUAUUUGUGCGAAAAUAAAAUGAGAAAAAUGAAGUCAUAAGAUAUAGAUCACAACUUGUAGUACAAGGAUUUUCGCAAAGGCCAAACAUUGAUUACGAAAAGACAUAUUCUCCUGUGGUGGAUGUAAUCACAUUUAGAUAUUUUAUUAGUCUGGAAGUAUGUGAAAAAAUUGACAUGUGUCUAAUGGAUGUUAUUACAGCCUAUUUGUAUGGUACAUUUGAUAUGAAAUUUAUAUCAAAAUCCUUAAGUGAUUUAAAAUCCUAUAAGGAUUUAAAAUCCCAAAAGGAUAUAGAGUUUCUUAGGAAAAUUUCUCGAUCAGAUUAAAGAAAAGUUUAUAUGGAUUAAAACAAUCUAGACUUAUGUGGUACAAUCUUCUUAGUUAAUAUUUGUUAAAAGAAAGUUAAUAAAACAAUCCAAUUUGUCCAUGUGUCUUUAUAAAAAGGUAUGGAACAAGUUUUGUGAUAAUUGCUGUUUAUGUUGAUGAUCUAAAUAUUAUUGGAACUCCGAAAGAGGUUCAAAAUGCAGUAAAUUGUUUAAAGAAAGAAUUUGAGAUGAAAGGUCUUAAAAAAAAUAAAGUUUUGUCUUGACCUACAGAUCGAGCAUUUAAAAGAUGGAAUUCUUGCCCAAUAGCCAACUUAUAUGGAAAAGAUCUUAAAUAAAUUUCACAUGGAUAAAGCGCAUCCGUUGAGUGCCCCGAUGGUUGUACGACCGUUAGUUGUGAAUGAAUACCAAUUUCGCUCUUGUGAGAAUGACCAUGUUUUAACUCGGAGCUAGGUAUAGUGAUGGAUCGAGUCAGGAGAUAGUGGGGACUUUUUGAAAUAGACUAAAUAGGAAUUUUUAGUAUUGAAUUAGGAAGUAAUUAGAGCCUAUAGAAAAUUAGAAAAUACUCUUUAGAUAGGAAAUAUUGAAAUAGAAGCAUUGACAAAAUUAAAGGCGUAUAGAAAUUAUUGUGGCAAAAGUAGGAAAUUAGAAAGGUAUGAAAAUAUAUGGAAAAAGUGGAAAAAAUAAGGAAGGACUAAUAGGAACUGUUACCUAGUAAAAAUAUGAUUCAUACAUUUUAUGGAAAUUAGUCAAUGAUAUAUUUUAUGGAUAUAAUUAUUAGGGGUCAAAGUAUAAAGAUGUUAGGUUAGAGGACUAGUUAGCAAAGUAACCAUUUUAAUGAAAAAUUGUGAGAUUUUUUUUAAGAAUGUGUAGAAGUUUUGGCUAUCUGAGCAGUUGACUCCACGGGUGGAGACAUAAAUGUAUUUAUUGGAAGAAUGAUACAUUGGACUGGACCCAAGAUGAAUUAAUUCUGAAUCUAUUUGUGAAAUAAUUCACUUGUGACAUUCAUUGUGUGAUUUACCGAAAUCUUGAGUUAGUCACUGACUAUGCGGAUGUAACUCAUGUGCUUUGAUAUAAGUGGAGGCUUAUGCUCCAAAGAUGAUCGAGCCCAUAGUCAGUAUAUUGGGUACAUGACUUUUGUAUGACAUGGUUUUACUAGCGACAGUGGAAUUCAUAACUCGAUUAAAGAGUUAAAAUAUCCUCUCAUUGGCAUUGUGUGGAUUGAUAAAUAUGGAACGUGGCCACAGGUUGCUUGUUCUCAAACAAGCAAUUUAUCAUAGUCAUUUGUUGACAGUGGUCAUAUUAUUUAUUAUAAAGGCACAAUGGUGAUAAUGAGAUAAAGAUUGUAUUGAGUGAGCGGAUUUAACUUAAAAGAAUCAAGGAUAUCAUAUCAGGGUAAAAAAACACAUGACGAGGUCAUUGGACAAAGCAAUUUGGUGAAUUGCUUUCGUAAAGAGUAUAUAAUCAGGAGUUUUCAAUCAGGACACUUCUUGUAGAUUGGCUCCAUAAUUAAGUAAAUUGUAAAUUAUCAGAACAAUACUUCUGGACAUAAUUGCAAUUACUCGAGUCUAUUUGUAUAGGUCCUAUUAGUCCCUCCGCUAGCUCAACAAAAAAUUGAUCGGACUACAUUUGAAUAAGAAGAAACUUCUAAAACUUUGGAAAUAAUUUAAUUAAGUUGAUUUAUUCGAUGUGAAAUUAAAUUAGGUGGUCGUGAGAAUUGUUUAACUAGAAAAUUUGAUUAAAGAAUUUUCUUAAAAAAUUAAUCUGGAAAAUCUUAGUGAUUUUUGGGAAGAUUAAUUUAGAUCAAGUAAAAUUAAAUUAAUGAAAUUAAUUUAGAAAUAAUAUGAUAGUUUUGAAAAUUAAUUUUCAAGUCAGAUAAUUGACCUAAUGGGUAAUUGAACUUGAAAAUUGGACUUGAGAUUGAAAAUUAGGCUUGAGAACCCAAAACUGGGUCGAUGGUACAAUCAGUGGCUAGAUCAUACCGAUCGGACUGUCACUCACCCGGACUGAACCGACUUGGGGUGCCGUGAGGGUGUCGCACUUGCGAUGGCACCACCAGAAGACAGUGUCAAGGGCGACGAUAGCAACAUUUUGGUGGUUGACAAGUGGUCCUCCAGCGGUUAAGAAGUGGAGGAAUCACACUCCUACUAGGACUCUGCUGGAUAAUUUGAUUUAAAUUAACUAUUCCUAAAAUAAUAUUAUUUUAAUAGAUAUAAUAUUAAAUUUAGUUUAAUACUUAUCUUGAUAGUAUUUUAUUAAUUUAAUAUUAAAGCUAUUAUCUUAAUAUUAAAUUAAGUUUAAUAUUUAUCUUAUAGAUAAAUAUUCUAUUAAUUUAAUAGAUUUAAUAUUAAAAUUAAUCUAAUAUUUAUCUUGAUAAGUAUUAUAUUAAUUUAAUAUAAAAAGGUACAAUUUUGAUGAAAUGUUUAUUACUUUAGAUAUCACAACCAAGUUCUUAUUUUUGGAAAAAAAAUUAAAAAAAUCUGAUUUUUCCCUUAAACUUAUUUUUCGUUGCGUUUUCCAAACCCGAUUUUUCCAACAAUUCAGAGUUAGGUUGUGCUCUACCUAUAAGUAUAAACAAAUAAUCAAAUUAGAUUUCUCUUCCUCUUGAAUGGUUCGAUUACAUAGAAAGUGGCAUUCUUUUAAUCUUAUACAUAUUUUGAGUUAUUUAUGAGAAUGGAUGUGAUAUUAUAUAUUAGUUAUAUAAUUGUUAUUUUUUACCAAGGUUGUGUUUAUUAGGAAAUAGACCAUGGACUAUCAUCUUCACGUAGGACUAUUGUUUUAAAUUCAUAGAAUUCUUGUGAGCUAGAAGCAUACAUAGGACUUAAAUGUAAUUUUUUGAAAAGGAUCCCAUGGCAAGGAGAAGAUGGAUCGAUAGCGGUUGAAGACCCAAUGUAUGUCUUGUGGUGAAAAACUGUAUAAUUUUUGUUUUUCAUUUAUUUUCUAGAAAUAGAACCAUGGAAACCUUGGUCGAUGAUUUUAUUUUAAUUACUCAUCUCCUUAUAUAUAUUUAUUUUAUAAUUGUUUAUGAUAUUUAUAUUAUGUUAUAUUAUAACUUUGAUAUAUAUGUAUGAGAUGAUCCACAGCUAAACGUUUAAAAAAUAAGAAGUGUGGUAAUGAGAAAAUACAUGUGUUGUAUUGUUCUAUUUACUUUUUUAAGUUAUUCGAUUGUUGCAAGAAGUGUGGUAAAGAGAAGUUGCAUGUCUAGGAUUGGCUCUGACAAGGAAAGACUUGGCUUUUAAGUUGUCAAAUUUGACUCACCUUGUAACGCCCCAAAAAUUUAGGUUUUUUAUUUGUUAAAUUUUGUCAAGUUAAGUAAUUUGCUUCAGUGGUUAAAUGCUUUGGAUGUGCAAUUGAGGUCAAGGGUUUAAAUCUCACUCUUGAAAAUUUUUGUUAUUUUUGUUUCUAUUCCCAUCUCUGUUCAUUAGACUUAAAUACCAUCUUUGCUCAAUUUAUGAUAGAAUGAGCCUGUUGGUUCAGUGGUAAGGUGUUAGCUAGCCCUUUAGUCUUGUGUUCAAAACCUUGCAUGAGCAAAAUGACAAUAUUUUUUCUAUUUCCUUAGUAGGUCGGCCAUGAGGUGGUUGAGGUUGGGAUUCAGUCUUUAGGUAAUCUGAUAAGAUGUCAGGAAAUUGGGAUAGUUUUGAUUUUAUCUUUUAUGGUAUUUUUUAUUUUAUUUUUCAAAAAAAACCCCAAAAUUUAAAAUCUCUCCUCAACCACCGUCAUUUUUUUCCACUACCUUCUUGGUCAUUUCUUUGUUUUGUUUUUCCUAUUUUUCUGUUUUAAUUUUCCCCUUUCUUUUUCUUGUUUUCUUUGCAGUUUCUACCUUCUUCCUUCUCUACAAUUUUCUUGUUGGCAUUAAAUUCUUUUCUCUCUUCCGUUCUAUGUUUCGUCGGGCUGCUAAUCUUUUAAUGGUCUUUGCAUAAGUGUUCUUUACUGAGUUCUUAUAAGAGGAUUUUGAUGGACAAAAUUGCUUUUAUUUUUGUGGCGUAGUUUUGAUAUAUGUGAACCUUUGUUAGGUGAGGAUCUUGAGAUUAACAUUCCUCCGACGAUUUAAUUAUGGUUUGGAGUUGCUGCUCAUUUCAGGCAUGUAAUAGAUAAUUGGGCUUGUAGUUUGGUGUUGAUUGGAAUUUGUGUUGAUUUAACGAAUUAGUUUUGGGGGUAAAUUGUUACUGCUUUGAGCAUAUCAAUUGUCGAUUUUAGAUUCUGGUAUUCACGUGGUUUGUUUCACAUUAAAAAAUACCCAAGUGUGUAACGAAAACCUGAAAAAUUAUGAACAAUAGAAAUUUAAAAAACUGGACUGUCGAUGCCCAGACGGGCAUGUGGGCCCAAAUUCUGAAAAUUUUCGCUAGGGCAGUAUUUGGCGUAUGAAUCAAAUGUAGCCCUAUCAUAGGGUUCGUAUGGUAUAAAUUUGACUAUGAAUCAUGUUUUUUGAUGCUUUGUUACUAUUAAAUAUGACUUAUGAAUUCAUGGGUAAUAUGUUUUAUGUGAUAGCAUGAUCUGUUAUAUGCUAAAAUAUCAUCUGGAUCAGAUGUGUAAAGCAUGUAUGUCAUACAUGUAUCUAUAUUUGUUUAGUUUUGCAUGGGCAUUUGGGUGGGUUUGUAAUUAUGGAGGAAGUGUGGGCAGUUUAAUUUAUUUGCCGUAUUUGGUGGCUCAGCCAUGUAUAUCUUUUCUGGUAGAUUACCACAUCUUGCUCUUGCAGCUAGACUGCAAAUAUUCUGAAAAGUGACAUACGAUCACUUUGCGUUGUGUGGGGCUAGAAGGGUAUUUAAUACCCUAAUUGGUGUGUAGGGAUAGUCAGAGAUGGUGUGUAGUGGAUGGGGGUAGGAUUUGAGUCUGUAUCUGAUAUGCAUCUGUUUUUGUAUCUGAUUAUGAAAUAUGUCUGAUUGGUAUUUGAACGCAUGUCUGGAAUUGUAUCUAAUGAAUUAUGUGUAUCUGUUGUAUUAAUUAUAAUUAGUUACACACUGAUCUUGUAAGCUUACUCCGGUUUGUUUACUCUCAGGUAACCCACAGACAUAGGACGGAUCGGUGUGACGGGAGCUUGGUUAAAGAUAUUUAAUUUUGUGAUUCUUUUAACUUUGUUUACUUUGUUUUGGUGUUGUUGGACUGUUUUUGAUUUGGACUUUAUUUUCUAUUUUGAACUGUUUUAUCGUUUUUAAAUUAUAAUAACUUUAUCAGCAAAACGAUGGAUUUUCAAUAUCAAAUCCCGUUUUCCAAAAUUGAAUUUAACUAAGAGUUUCGCUACAAACAUAAGUGUUUUAUAAAUAUAAAUUUAAUUGACAAAUUUAAUCAAUUAAGAAAGGUAUUUUUUAAAAAUAAACUGGAAUUGUAUUUAACAAAAGUUAGUGUUAUUUCUACAAGCCUCAAAUGAUUUCUGAAUUUUCAAAUUGAAUCAUAGUAACUUUCCAGAUCUGGCUAUAACCUCUAGGUCAGGUUUGAGGUGUUACACACCUUCUUUUCCUGAGAUCCUACCAGGUGCAUGGUUCACAUUCACUUCUUCGUUUAUUCCUUGAGGAGAAAAACUGUGGAGAAUUAAAAUUAUUUGUUUUUAUGAUCGAUUGAUUCUUGUAAAUAAUUGAAUGUGAAUAUUAUAAAAUUGUCAUGGCAUGCCAUGCUUAUAUUGGAAACAUGUCAUAUAGGUUAGGUAAGAAUGCCACUAUGACUAUUGUAUGAUUAUUCGUGAAAUCUAGGAUAAAAACCUUGCAUGUUUUUAAAAUAUUGAGUGGGAGAAGGUUACCUCCAUUGAUGGUCCCUAAGUGAUAGCAUGAUAAAGUUUUGAGUUAAUGAUGGGUGUUGAGUAAAUAGUUACACCCUAAUAUAGUCUCUUAUUUAAUAGUUUUCUAUGAAAAAUAUUUAAGCUAGAGAUGAUAGCCAAACGUUAAAUGGUCGUUGAUUUGUGUGGAGUCUUGAGAAUUAAGAUUCACGAACUGAUUGAAUGUAAUCAAUGUUCUUGCUAGUUAAUCAUGGACCCCAAGGUGACAUGAUUGAUGGGUGUGAGAAUGAUCGUAGCAACGAAAAAAAUGUUUUUCAAGGUUUUAAUGUAAGACACAUGUAUCAUACUGCAUUCUUGAUAUGUUGCUGAAAUGAAAAUAUUUUCUUAAUACAAAGAUAGUAAUUAGUGAAUCUUUAUUGUUUUUUAGUUCAAAUAUGUCUCUUAUUCCUCCUAUUAGCAUUAUUACUGAGAAUAAAUUGAAUGGGGAUAGCUUUCGAGAAUGGAAACGGAACUUGCUAAUAGUUCUCAACUGUAAGAAACACAAAUUCGUCAUUGACGAACCUUGCCCACCUGAAGCUCAGCCUAAAGCAAGAAAUUGCUGGAGAGAUUCUGACUUGAUUGCUCGAUGUUAUAUGUUAGCGAGCAUGAGUAGUGUGUUGCAAAAGCAACAUGAGAAUUUUCAUACUGCCAAAGAGAUCAUGAAAAAAUUAGAGGAUAUGCUUGGAAGCCAAGUCACAUUGGCUCAACAAUCUGCUAUUACAAAUUUGAUGAACUCCGAGUAGCAACUCGACUAGCCAAUCAAAAAGCUUAUGCUUAAGCUUAUGAAAUUCUUUGCGGAAGAGAAGGACAAUGGGGUUGAACUAGACGUGAACACUCAGAUUGAAAUAGUGUUCUAAUCCUUGACCAAGGAGUUUGUUAGCUAAAGGGCCGCGUACAACUUUGGGAACAAGACGCUUACCUUGACUUAGCUUAUGAAGGAAUUACAAUCCUAUGAGUUGAACUUGAAUGGUGGUAAGUCGGUUAAGGAGAAACUUGAGGCAAACUUAGUUGUGUGCUUCUCGUCUUCUAAGGGGAAGUAAAAAGCUAAGGGAAACAAGACCCUGACUAAGUCUUCGAUUCCACCUCGUUUGAAUAGGAAUAAGAAUAAAAAGUCAAAAGAUCAUAAAAAGAUCAAAUGUUUCUUCCAUAACAGGAAAGGGUACUUCAGCUCAAAUUAUAAGGAGUAUUUGGAUUAUCUAGCCAAAAAAGGAGAAGACGUGGAACUUAUUGUGGUUGAAGCUUUCUUAAUGGAAGAAUCAAUUAAAAACUAGGUUAUUAAUUCUGAAGCCAUUAACCAUGUGUGUGCUUCUUUACAAGGGUUUCGCAAAAUGAGAAGUUUGCGCGACAGGAGCCUUUUGUUGCAGACUAGAAAUGGGAGCUAUGUUUCAGUCAAAGCAGUGGGAGUUCAACUUUCGGCUCAUCAAGGUUUUGGUCCUCUGUCUUGACCUCAUCGUCCUCCUUUUUAGUAGGCUUUUCCGAGUUUACUAGUGUUUUACUCAAAUAAAGUGUGAUCACAUUUACAUGCCCUUUUCCGUCCUUUCGGGGAUUGUUUUCCUCAUGGCAAUUCCGCCACUACAAGUGGAUUGUUUACAUUCACUAAUGGGCUUGCCUUAAAAUUCUCUCUAGUUCAGGAUCUGGCUCGAUUGGAAGGGUUCCUUUUCGAGUCAUACAUUGAAAUAAAAAAGAAGUUAAAAUAAAUUAAAAUUCAAAUAUAGUAAAAAUCAAAUACAAAUAAAAAUCUGUAUCUAUAAUUAUAAAAUUUCCUAUUUUUUCUAUCAAAUGUAGAAAAUUUAAUUGAAGUCUAAUGUCAAAACUUCCCUGGUGCCAACAACUUGGCUGUCACUAGGCGUGCAAACGUUUGAAUUGGAAAUUCUGCAACAAAAAGAUAUAAAAUUAACCAACAGUGUCCGUAAAUAUAUGAUUCAAAUUUUAAUAUAGAUUAAUUUUACAACAAAACACGUUGGGAAGCAUUCCGAGGAUUGUACCCAAGGGAAGUUUAAUUAAACCUAAAAUAAUUCUCUACACUAAUAAAUCUAAAUAAUAUCGAUUUAAAUUUAUAUUAAAAAAAUUAAAUUAACAUCAAUUAAUCGAAUUAACCUAAAAGUUAUUUAAAUUAAAAUCAACCAAUUACCAAUUGAAAUAAAUCCAAUACAAUAAGUAGGAGAUCAACUCACUUUAGUGAUUGUAAUUAACUUCAGAACUUGGAUUUUAUUAAGUUAGCUAUUAAUUAACUAGUUAUUACCUCUCGGCCUGUAACUAUUUAAAUAAUCGACCAAUGCACGCUUACCUCUAAGCAUCACUUUCUUGACCGAGAUAAAUUAUGAGGUACUCAGUAAACUUAUCUCUCGAUCUCAUUUAUCCUAAAUUACUUCCUAAGGGCGUGGGUUUAAUAGCACAUAAUUUAAGCCAACUAACUCGGAUUUCAACCAUCGUUCAUUCCUUAAUUAUUCACACAUUUGUUCGUUAAUCUCCCUAAGGAAAUUAGCUACUCAUGGAUCUAAAUACAAGAAUUCCUAUACUCAUAUAUAACAUGCAAAGGAACAAAUUAAAUAAAAGUAAGGAGUAGAGAAAUAAGUUCAUUUUUUAUAUCGAUUUGAACUCGAGAGCGAAAUAUACUUUAACAGUUGCACAGGUCACCUCGAUUGCAAUUGGAAUCAACACCGAAAUAAUGAAAAACUAUUAUAUUAAAGCCUUGAAUUGAAAUCGAAUCCAAGUUUAAAUAAGAACAAAAGUAUAAAAAGGACUAAAUUGAAAAAAAUAAAAACUAAACUAAAAACCCUAAAAUACUAAAAUAACUCACUUGGCCAAGUCUCCUCAAAUGAGACUUAACAUGCCUAUUUAUAGAGUUUAUGCUUAGACCUAAUUAGGGUUGCUAAAGAGCCCAAAAAUUUGAUUAAGGUACAUUGUGCGGACUAAAAUACCCUUAACUAAAAUUUUUGUUCAUAACUUGGUGUCGCGACACUGCCCCUGAAAUUCUGGGUAUUUUGGCUUCAAAGUUUGAUGUUGAGAAACCACUUCGCGGUGUCACGACGCUGCUGUUGUCCCUCAUCUUCUGAGCCUAAAAACAGUGUCCUACACACUAGAUAGAGUUGUUAUAUCAUCCCUAAGCCCACAGUGGCCCAUUAGGGCAUUACAUAACUCAAAAUUGCAUAAAAGCGCUUAUUUUGCAUAAUUUAAACACAAAACAAUAAAAACUGCAAAUGAAAUAAAAACAUAUAAAAAUUCUAUAAAAAAAGCUCGUUAAGUGUUGGAAAGCCCUUAAUUUGCCACAACGAACUGUGGCAGAUCAUAGCUUCGAGAGGAAGUGUCCCCCAAGGAUGAGAAUCGCAAGCCAUAACAUCCUUAGAUGAAUCUUGUAAGGGGAGAUCCAUCUGAGAAUUAUCAACGGAGGGUUCCCAAAUGAAAAUCCCACCAGCACUAUGUUGUGUAGGUACCCAUUCUAGGGCAACCACCUUUUGUCAUUUAUACUGAUGGGAAACUUCUUCAUUUUGCCUCUUUGAUCUGGAUACUUAAGCCCUCUACUGCUCAUCUCUAUUACACGGGGCAAGGUUUGCAAAACCACAAGAGAGAAAAUAGAUAGGUGAUCACAUAAGUCAUCAAGAGAAAGAGAAAACAACACAUACCCCUCCAAGAUCUAGCUGCAAGCACAUCAUACUCGCUUGAAGUGAUGCUAACAGUAAGAGAAGAAAUAUGUUGCUCCAAGUCUGGUAUCAAUAUGGGCACCACGUGCGGAGACCUAAGAGGAAUUUUCCAUUUUUUAUCCUAAAACCCCAUGUAAUUCGAGAAAAAUUUUAAAGGCUUCAGACGCAAACCCCAAAGAUAUUUGUUGACAGUAUCCUUCAAGUCAUACAACUUGGAUUGUUUACAUUGCAUCAAUUACUUAACAUCCCUUAAGCCAUAUAAUAAAUUUGGAGCGGUGUACCCUAUAGCCCUCUUAUCACAAAGCCAAUAGCGAAACACCUUAUGAAGGGAGGUAUCGUGAGGAAUAACCAAGGUGCCAUUAUGAUUUGAAAGAUUAUAGGCAUUCUCCCGUCAGGAAUGUGCUUUAGUCAAGGAUGAUGAAGAUAAGAGGAGGGCAUAGGUAUUUUCCAUUCAAUGGGGGAUCCAAAAGACUCCCCCAACUUUAACUUUACCAAAAUAUACUUCUCAGGGUCUAGCUUCAACCUUCCCACUCCUCUAUAAAUGAGCUGUUUAGUCUCCUCCCUUGUAACCACAAGGUACACCCCCUUAUAGUCUUCCUUCCCCUGAAAGGUAUGUUGGAAAAAUCUGGUUUAGAAAAAUGGUUUUCAGUCAUAGCGAAAAAUUAGAAUUUUGAAAAUCAAGUCGGUUUGUGAUAUUUAUUGCAAUAAACAUUUCUCAAAAAGUAUUUAUUCUUUCAGUGAAAUGGGUCUUAGACUUUACUAACUAUAAAACAAAUGACCUUCUUCGUUAUUCUCUUACCAAGAAUUGCUUCAAACAUAAGCUUUAACAGUCAUGAACCAAACACAGAACUAGAAAUGAUUUAUUACUUUCAUAAAGAAAGUAAUUUUCUCUUAAUAGAAAUUGGUAGAAUUGAAACACCCAAAAAAUAGAAUUUAAUCUUAGAAAACAAAGUCUUAUUACUUUCUGGAAGAAUUAAAAUAUAUCAAACUUAUAUAAAACUUGUGUAAAUAGCUCUACUAGUGUUAACUAUUUAUAAAGAGAGAUAGGAGAAUCCUAGUUGAAUUAGUAAAAAAAUAUUAUUUAAUUAAUAGAAAACAAUAUUCUACUCUUAUGAUGAGGGAAUGCCUAUAAUCUUUAUAAAUUAAGAUUUUUUUUAUUUUCUAUUAAUUUUUAUAGGGAAUUUAAUCUAAUCUAAUUAAUUAGACAAUAUUCUACUCUUAGAAAAUAAAAAAAUAUUAUUUAAUUAAUAGAAAACACUAUAGUAAAUAAUACUAGGGUUGUCGCCCUUCUCUCUUAUGAUGACGGAAUUUGGGCCUUUCUUGUACUGGGUCCAAUUAUAUGUGCUUCUUGUAUUUUUAACCCAACACUUUAUAAUUUAAUCUAACCCAAUAAAUGUUUUUUAUUUUCUAAAAUAAAUAAAUAUUAAUUAAUUAAUUAAUUAGAUAAAUUAUUAAUUUUCCAAUUAAAGAUUUUUCUCAACCAAUUCUAACCCCAUUAAAGUCAUGCCAACUUUAUCAUAAAAGAAUCUAUGAGAAAAUAUAUAUAAGUUUCAUAUUCAACAUAUUCACAAUGACAAAUUAAUUUAAUUCUAUUUUCCAACCUCAAUUAUUUAAUUAAAUAACAAUAUGAAAAACUUAAAUUAAUUCUCAAGUUAUUUCUAUACUUAGUGAGAAAAUAUGAUCAUUUGUGAAUAUAACUCAUUUCUUUAACCUCAUCAUUUCCAUCUAUUUCUGUUUACUUGGUUCUACAUGCAAUUCAUUUCUGGUUCCAAUAAGCUUGCGGAGGGACUGAUUGGACAUAAGUAAUUAGGGCUCAAAUAGUUUAAAAUUAAUUUCUAGCUUUUUGCCUAUUAAUUAUAAACUUAUUUAGUUAUGAAGUCAUUCCACUAUAGUAUUGUGAUUAAGCUCUCCCCAAUUCCAUACCAUUACGAAAGCUACUUAAUCAAUUCUCGUUCAAUGACCUUGUCAUCAAUGUAUUACCCUCACAAGAUAUCUUUAAUCUUUUUGGGAUAAAUUCAUUCUUCCAAUAUGAUCCAAUUUUAUCUCAUGGUAACUAUUACAUCUUCUUUAAUGAAAAGUCAAUUACUAUCAAAUAGUAAUUAAGUCUUUUAUCACAAAGACAAACAACUCAUGAAUACGUUUACUUUUCAUCUAUCAUGUAAUUUCGAUGAGAGGGUAUCAUUUACCCAUUAGUUGGGCUAUGAAUUCCACUAUUAUGAAUGAUGCUACAUACUGCAGAAGUCGUAUACCUAAUGCACUAGCUUUCAGUUCCUUAUCUAUUUUAACUCAAUAUUUUACUUACAUCAAAGUAUAUAAGUCACAAAUACAUAGUCCAUCAUUCACUCAAGAUUAAGGUAUGUCAAACUAUGAACAUCAUAAGUGAACAAAACCAUAAAAGGGUCUAAGAUCUUCUAUUUGGGUAUUUUUUGAUAUAUUGUCAGUCCAGUCAGUCACAUCUAUGUCUUUAUUUUUUGGGAGUCAUCUGCUCAAUGCCCAAGACAAAGCAUUUCCCCAAUUGAAUUUGAUAGACGACAUAUUAGUCUUUCAAUUAAUUUGCUCAAUUUUGAUUAGACUAAGGACAUGUUUACGUCUACUAAUACAAGAUGUCUUUUCGUAUUACGAUAAGACCACUUAAUACCUCUUAGUAUUAGUUAAACAUUAGAUAAUUAGUGAGCCAAUAUUUGCUUCCAUUUUGCUUUGCAUGCAAAAACAUUAAGAUAUACAAAGGGUAUUAAUAUAAUUUAUGGAUAUAAUGAAACCAGUUUGUUCAAAAAAAACACAAGUAUACAACGAUGAUAAUACUACACUUAGGACAUCAGAUCCAACAGGGUGUACAUAUAUUGGAACAAUAGCAUGGAAGGCCAUAUCCCCCUAUAUCCACAUUUGAUCAUAAAACCAAUUAUUAACCACUAGGAGUUCCUAACCAACUGCUCGGGUGCUAAACAGUAGGAAUUCAACAAAUCCAUGACAAAUUGGUGAGGCGACAAGUGACACCAUGCCUCUAUCACGAAGAAUGAAAGGUAGAAUCCCGGUCUCCCCUGCCAAAAUGUGGCCCAAAAAUAAAACUCAAACUAUGCUUCCUCACAGGAACACUAAAUUAAUACUUAGGAAGCCUUAUUAGAAAGCCCUUACAUCUUCGCGUCAUUCACAUCUUUUGUUUUGUUUUCAUGCACUUACACUCGACAACUACCACCAGCUCAUCAAAGUCCCUUAUAUGUUCUAGGAUUUGCCCCUUUUAGCUUUCAAUCAUUAGAGGCCUCCUGGAAUCGACUGAAGUCAACCUAUUAUCCGAUGUUGUUGUCCUAUUAUUAAUAGAAAAAGACCUAUCUCUACCUCUUUGUGACUAAGAUAUGUAAUUCCUUCAUCCUCUAUUGCAUGUUUAACCAUUUUCUGAGUAUGAUUGAGAAAAAAAUGAGUAAAAAGAGAAAAUUUGAAAUACUUUUGAAUUAAACAAGAAUCUCGAGCAAAAAUUGUGAAACAUGUAAGUAGCUUUAUGGAAAGUAGAAAGACAAUUUAUAAAGUUAUCAACUAUUCUUCAUAAAUGUGUUGCUUUGAGGACUUAAAGUCAUGACCAAUAAUAUCUGGCCACCUAAACAAUGUCAAGUGCUCAUCAUCAUGACCACUACUCCCUAGAAGAAUGUCAUAUUUAUGAAAAAAAUUUUAACUACGCUUCACCUUCUCUGGCUAGAUAAGCUUUUGAGGAUCCUCGAAGCAUGCCUCAGGGAAGGUCAUUUUAUGAUCUCCCACUGAAUUGGGGGGUCUUGUAAUAUCCCUCCACUAAGAAGACACAUGUCAGGCCCAAAAGGUAUUGUUGACUCUGCAUUGAAUUAAUGAGCAUGAACGCCUGUCCCACUCCAGACGAGACCUACCAUUCGGGCUUAAAGGAGAAUAAUAUCCUAAUGUAAAAACACUUCUAAUAUAAUAAUGAGGCUAUUUAGGCUUAACUACCUCAUAUUGAUAGAGUCCCAUGAUACAUGUAUAUGAUUAUCCAUUACGCAUUUAAUAGGAUUGAACACCUAUCUGGCCAUAUCAUGCCAGUGGACAAGGAAAUCUUUCCUAUAAAUACUGUAGAAACUAUGAAUAGAGGAUCAAUCUUUUAGCACCUUAACACAAAUUUUAGCAUUUCCCCUUUUAAUCAGCAUGUCCUCUUGUCCUUGUUCCUACUCUCGGCCUCUACAAGUGAACUAGCCUCCAUUGCACCACCUUAACCACCUCUUUGUUCCUCCGUAUUAUUGUUGUGUGUAAAAUUGUAUUGCAAAUGUGCAAGUGUACAUGUUGAUUCAAUUAAUAUAACGAUAAGUGAAAAUCGCCUCCAUAGGGAUCAGAAGUUGAUUUGAAUUGGUAAGUAUAUUGAAGAUUUAACAAAUAGAGCUGUGCAAAAUAAACAAAGUAUAACUUGGUGAAGGGAAUUAAUGAAUGAACUAAUAAUAUCAAUUAUAACUAAAAAUGACCAAAAAAUAUAAAUGUUGUGGCAAUUCACAAGGAACAAGUUGAGAGUAUUUUUGCUGUUGAAUGAUAAAGGUUGGAAUUACUCAGGGAAUAUUUUCAUAACAUAAUAAUGCCAUGAAAAAGUUGUGACUAAACUACUGCCCAGAGAUGUACUACUGCAUCCUACUUCUUUCGAGAGUUAAACUUUAAUUAUUAUUCGGAGUUUGUGUAUGUCUACAAGACUCACGAAUGAUAACUCAACUACAUUCUACACCUGUACAGAUCACAUCUUCUAUGUCUAGAGUGUUGCGAAUAUUCGUUCGAGUACUCGCCUGUAUCAAACGAUUACUAAUUUGAUGUAUUUAAUUCUUUUAGAUUCAAAUUCAUCUAAGAUCAUAACACACAGUCAACUAUGUCUAGAGCUUGCAAGCAUGCAUUCCAAAUAAACAAGAAUAUAAUGAAACAAUAAUCUUAAUCAAAAUCAUAUUAUUGGAAUUACAACUAAUUUAAUAUUCAUCCAAAUAAUUCCAACCCAAAGAUAAUUAGCUCAUGGGUUGGGCAAUGAAAUCAAAAAUUAAAUCAGUUAGAAAAAUCUCAAGUUUUACGAAUCAUAGAUUCAAAAGUAAAAAAAUAAAACAAAGGCAGAACUGCAGGAAGUUCUUGCUGCACUCCAACUUCUUAUCAAGAUUCUACGCAGAACUAUAACACCCCUAGUCCAUCUCCGUCGCUGAAUUAGGAUUACGGAGUGUUACUAAACAAUCAGAACAUUUAAACAUUAUAUCAUAUAAUAUUAUAAUCAUCUCAUAAACCAUUCAUUCUCAAGCACAACGUCCCUAAAUCAAGCCCUCGAGGCUCUAAAAAUAUCUUAGAAACAAUUUGGGACCAAUUUGAAAUAGUUUAGAAAGCUUAAGAAAAAGAUGCAAAAGUUGCCAAACAGGGGUCACAUGGCUGAGACAGAAGCCGGUGUCUCAGGCCGUGUAACAAUUGAACUAGGGACACAUGGCCAUGUCCCAACCCAUGUCCUCACUCGUGUAACUCUCUGAGUAGUGUCACACGGCCAUGUCACACGCCUGUGUGCUAGGCCAUGUAACUCACUGACUUGCACCCUAGCGAACUCAUCAGAUGACACACGGCCGUGUCUCCAGGCCGUGUGUCUUACACGGCUGAGUCACACGCCCGUUGGUCAGGCCGUGUGGACCCGAAAUGAACCUUAAACAACAAGUUUACCAAUUCAUGCUUACUUGGACUCUAAGUAAUUCUACUAGGCAUAAGACUUGUUGAAAGUGACAUUAAACAAGCUAAAAACAUGCUAAAUCAACCAUACUAAGUGCCUAACCAAUGUAUCCUCAUUGAUACCACAAGUAUAUACAAUUUUACAACAAAAAGAACUAUCAUUCAAUGUUAAAUCACACCAUCUAACAUUCAACCAAUAUGUCAAACAUAGACACCUCAUUCACAACAUUCCAAUCACACUUACCAUGAACUUGCACUUAAACAUCUUACCUCAUUCACAUAUAUCAUAUAAGUUGAUUAUUUACACUUAAGAUCAUAAUUAACAUUUUACAUAUCAAAACAAUAGUAAUGACAUACAUGCCAUAUAAUCCAAAAUGAACAUUCUAAAAACUACCGAAAAUGAGUGGAUAGUGUGACUUGAGUGCCGAUCCAAUCGUCCAACCUUCAAAGUAUCUACAUGAAUAGAAAAUAACACAAGUAAUCUCAUUGAAGCUUAGUAAGUUCGACGUACUAAAACGAUAAAUCUUACCGAAGUAAGUACAAAAAAUCAAAUAAGAAUAUUACAACCAUAUGUGUUCCAUGUCAUGCACAAUCUUAAGCGGUGAAUUGUAAAAUUCAAUUCAGAACUCAAUACAUGACAAAACCAUCAAAAUCACUAACAGGUUACCUUACCGAGAUUUACAAUCUGAUGAACGACUUAUAGAUAUGAGUACAUUGAUAUUCCAACCGAAACACACUAGAUGCUUAUAAGAGCUAAUCCCACUGAAACACAUCAGAUGCUCAUAAGAGUCGGUCCAUUUGAUAACACACCAAUGGCUCCGAAGAGCUAGUCCAACUAAAAUCAGACCAAAACAGAGAGUAUAACACAAGGGUUCACAAAAAAUGCUGAAACUUGGUCUACUCAGGAAAUAGAUAUAUAUAUCAAUCCACAAUAAUCUCCACUCCAAUCCCCUAUUACACACCAUAUCUCAAUUGUACUCUAUCCAGCGUUCAAUCCGAUCUAAAUAUUGAAAUUCAAUAACAUUUCUCAAUCUAUAAACAAAUAUAUCUACUAUACCAUUUUAUAUCAUCGAACAUUUCAUAUAGACGCUAAAUUUUAAACCGUACGAACUUACAUGGACUGAAUUGUAGUAGUUGUAGAAGUUUAGGGACUAAUCCGCGAUUUUUCCUUUUCCAUGAAUAUCAAUACGGUCUUGAUAUAAAAUGUAAAAUUUCUCAAUUAUUAGCUUAAAUUUCACCUUCCAAUUCACUUUACAUUUUAUACCCUUUUAUUUUUGAAUUUACACAAUUACCCCUAACUUUUAUAACUUUUACAAUUUAGUCCUUUAACCCAAAUAUCAUCAAAUUAACCAGUUUUCUCAAGUCAACUUUUUAGACGAAUAUACUAGGCCCUUAAACAGUCCUUACUAAACAUCAAAUUCACUAUCAAACCCUAAAAUUUUGACAUUUUCAUAAUUUAAAUUCCUUAAUCAAAAUCUAACAAAAAUCACUUCACAAAAUCACUAAAUAACACAAUCAAAGAUUCAAAUACAUAAUUAUCAUAAAAAAAUAUUCAAGAUUCAUCAAUGACAACUUCUAAAAUAUUUAAAAAAUUCAAAAGCGAAGGUACGGGCUAGCUGGACUUAGUUGCAACGAUCUCAAAAAGAUGAAAAUUACAGGAAAUAGGUAAGAAUUGAGCUCACAUGCACAAGGAUGAAGAAACCGAAGCGUGAAGCUCUCUCCAAUAGUGGUUUUGGCAAGGAUUGAAGAAAAAUGAAUAGGAAAUGUCUAAUUUUUCAAUUUGUUUUGUUUAAUUUUUAAUUUAUUUACUAUUAUGCCAUUAACAUAUAAUAUUCUAUCAUUUUUAAUUUUAAUUAUCGUCCCACCACAUUGAUUAAGGCUUAAUUACCACAUAGAUCCUCCCUCAAUAACUACUUAAGCCAUUUGAUCACCAGAAUGCCUUAAUUAACAAGUUUUGCACCUUUUAUAGUUUGGUCUUUUUUCUUAAAUUAGCUACCUAAACGAUAAAAUUACCUAAUCAAAUUUUAAUAUGACUCUAAUGACUCUAUAAAUAUUUUAUAGAUAAUAUGUAUGAGUUGACACAAUAGAAAUUUAUGGUCUCAAAACAACUUUUCCAUCACCACUGAAAAUUAGACUGUGACAAGAAUCUAGGGCAGAUUUCUCUUCCUCUUUUUAAUGCAUGUGGUCUCUACCUUUUAGCUGGUACCCUUUUUUUCCCAUCUUAAUUACUUCAUAGGGUUUUGUUGUAGAGAGAGUAACCACUCUUUUUCUUUUCUUUUCUUUUUUCCUCACAAUUCGUAUAUUUUCUUCUCUUCUUUCUCCUACUUUUCUAGGGUAGAUUCGUCCCUUUCAACACACAUAUUUUACUCAUCUUUUUCAGGGUGAUUUAUUUGGUACACGUACAACUGGCUAAGAGUGAUGUGGAUUGAGUGCUACAUCAUCUUCCUAGAAUUGCCGUGGCAUUUCUAUUGGCAGUUUAUCCUACCAAUUGCCAUGGCAAUGUUUCAUCUCAUUCAUUCACUUUUCUUCUUUCUCUUUUGCUUCUUCUUGCUUUUUUCAUCCUACCUGCACCUACUACCAAAGACUACCAAACCUCUUUCCAGCAAUUAAAAGUAACAUAAAUUUACAAUUAAAACGUAAUCCAAGCUUUAGUAUGUAAUGCUCUAGUAAUAAGUCUAAAAUGCAAACAUAAUUUCUUAAUUACAAGCAAAUACUUCAGUGAAGAUGCCUGAAAUAUAACUCAUUUCAAGAGUUAUCACACCCCUAAACUUAAAUUAUUGCUUGUCCUCAAGCAAAUAUGUAUGAGUAUGCAUGAAUGCAGGUAUGCAUAAAUUUGCCAAAACAUUACAAUCACCAAAUAUAUGACUGGACAAUCUGAAAUAUAUUUUUCACCUCUAUUCUCAGCAGCCUUCUAAAUAAAGAAAAAUUGGUCUGAGUUCUAUAGAUUUGUUUAGGAAAUGAAAUGCAUAAAAUGGUUCUUAAAAAUAAAAGUUCCUAAAUAAUUAUGUAAUUAUGGCUAUAGCAGACCUCUCCUAAUAUAUUUAAAAUAUCUUUCCUUUAAAUUUAAUUUCACUAUUCUCACUUAUUCAAGAUUUUAAUAACAAUCAUUACUUUAUAUAGAGAAUUCAGCUUGUCACAUAAUUUCUUUGCUUGACAACCUCAAUGGAGCAAACACUAGACUUCCAGAUAUUUCAUCAUGCCACAAUUUGUAUGGAAUUCACUCAUAAAGCUAAGGCUUUUAACUAAAAAGAAGGAUGGAGCAAACAAUUACCUCCUUAGCUACUCAGCCUAACACUUCAAUGGAGUGUGCCUAAAUUAUUAUUAACUUGAUUUUUUUAUCAAUCUUAUUUGAACUCAUUUUUCUUAUCAAUAAUACAAUGGAGCAAACAAAAAAUUACUGACCUACUAAAUAAAUUCAAACAUUGGACUACAAAAUGUUGCUAAGAUAUUCCUUAUCAUUUACAAACAAAUUGUUAAAUUUGGAUCAAGAAAUUCAAGAUGCAUUAAAAGAGUCAUACUACAAACUUAAUUGCAUUGAUACGUAACUUUUUCUACUUUUAAGAAUCAAUUUUCAAACAACUAUCCUAAGCAAAAAAGACCUAACUACUCGAACAAUUUUCUAAAUUCAUCAAAGAAUUAUUAUCCUCAUCGAAUAUCCUAGACAAAAAAUAUACUUAGUAAAGUCUGGUAAUUGUUUGGCAAUUGUAUGUCAUGGCAAAGAAAAUGACAAGAAAACAAAUAUUAACAUACAUAUCUAAUGCAACCUAUAUGCAUAACACACCCCCAAACCUAAAGGAUGCAUUGUCCUCAAUGCAUAAAAAAGAAAAAUGUUAGAUAUCAAAACACAUAUUUACAAAUAUAGAAAUGCAAUGAAGAAAAAAUGAAUGUAUGAAUGAGGAAUAAAAGCUUGGACAGAAAAAUUGUUACUCUUGAUUUGGUGAUUGGCUGUUUAACGUCACAGUAAUAAUGUGCAAGCGUACACUAUCGAUGCACGUAUAGUAGACAGAUGUGAGUCUGUCAGAUUUCGAUCCCACAGGGAUGGUAGUCUUUUGUCUAUUAAUGUUAGUGCAAUAACUAGAUAGAAACGUGGUAAAUUGUAAGAAUAGUUGUCGAUGCAAUAACUUGAAAACAAUAAAAUAAAAUAUGAUAGUAAUAAACCGGGAUCCCCAACAUGAAUCUUCAGUAGAAUACUAAGUGCUCACAAGGUAUAAAGAGAUAAGUCAUUGUCGAAGCAAUAAAGUUCAAUAUAUAUCUUACCCAGCGUCACCCAUCUAUUUAAUCUGAGACUUAAACCUGCAUAAUAACCCCACUUUCUGGUGAUGGCAGUAUGACACUAUUAAGAACAAGUGGACUAAAUUCCUCUAAUCCUCACUCAACUUCUGUUGAAAUGCUUGUUGGCUCGAUCUGUCAUUGCGCUUUCCAGUGUUAGUGACUGUAAUAACACUUCAGUGUAGCAAAAACAUUCAAACCUCAAGAUUAAACAAUAAAAGCAAGAUUGAAUAAGAUAACAUUUCACCAAGAAUUCAUAUGUACUUCCAUAUAAAAAGAAAAUAGAGAAUAAUCACUAGCAUUGAGAAAGAUAUAAGAAAGAAUCAAGUGGAGAAUACUAUUCCUAGACAACUCGACUGAAUCUCUCUAUUCCUUCUUGUCUCACACUUAGGUCUCCUCAUUAGAAGCUAGUCUGCAUCUGGUUUUCGCGUUGGCUCACCCGUGAGAGGCUUAAGCUACCAUAGCUGCAAGCUUCAAGGUAGGAUGAUGAAGACGAUGAUCUGAAAAAAACUCUCUUUUUCUUCUCACGUCCACCUUUUAUGUCCUCAUCCAACAGUAUAGGUGUCCUUUCCCAAAAUGAUUAUGUCCUUGAACGUACAGGUUGGUUAUACCAGACUGGACAGCUCACGUAAUUUUAGUUCUUAUCCAGAUAGCUGUCUAGUGCGGCGAUAAUUCUGGAUGCAAUCUGGAAUUUACUCAUGCAACGAUAUUAAUGCAAAAAGAUAGCAAAAUUAAGGAUAAAAUAGGCUAGAAUUCACUGAGUUAUAAAAUGCAAUUACUAAACUAAAAAUGCUAAAAUGUAUGCUAAGGAUAAUUAAAUGGGAACAAUUUAACAAAUAAGUAAGGGGGAAAACCUAUGUUCUUUCUAGUGCUAUCACACCCUCAAACUUGACUUUUUACUUGUCCUCAAGUAAAACAGAAACUAGCAAGGCUACACAAAAUUUUACUAAGGCAAAUGAUCAUUCUAGCAACUUGAACCCUCUAAAUUCCCAAUGGAUGAGUCAUAUUCAGAUGAAAUAAUAUUGCACCGACAAUUCAUAAGCAUGAAUGAAUAAGGUUGCAACUUCAUCAAUGCUAGCAUCAUGCUUCAAACCCUAAGUUCUAUCUACCAUUACAACAUUUAUUGUACAAUACUAAGUAUACAUUUUUUCGAAAUAAGGGAUAUCAUCGCAUUACUGUACCCUUGUUCCUGAGAAGUAACGAUGGGGUGCAACAAAACCCAGGGAGUACGUAAUUGCGACGACACACACUCAUGCAGCGACAGCCUUUGGCUAGAUUGAUUUUUCUAAUGCUUGUAUUGGAGUGUUCCCUUGUUAACAUUCCAUACUACACCCACUUUGGAGUGUCUCUAUUUCAUAACUAUAUAUACAGAUAGAAGGAGCUGCAAAAAGCAGAUUCAUUCAAGAUUUAAGGAAUGAUAGCAGCCAUCCAUUACUAAUGCACCCUAAUUUAUUCAUCAAUGAAUUGAAGCUGUAACCUUUUGUCAAAUUUAUCCAACUUGUUCAUUUUUAAUUUACAUGAUUCAAGAAUUAAGGAUCGAAUGUAACAAAAAUUUUGAACCAUUUUCAUUAACUAUAAUUAAACCUUGCAUUCUUCAUUUUCGAAAACAAAAAUUUUAAAAUAUGGAUGCAUUUCCAAGUCCCAUGUGCAUUCCCCUAAACUUAAAGUUUGCAUUGUCCUCAAUGCACUAACAUGAAAAUGUAAUGACAAUAAAAAAUAUGCAAUGACACUAUAUACUUAUCAAAAUGAAACUUAUAGCUACAUGCAAUGCAUGAAUACUAUAACUAAAAAUUAAAAUAAACUAAACUCAGUUAUCUGCUGCCAUCGAUAUGGCUGCAUGAUGUUUCUUUCUCCCCCUUCUUUCGAUUUUUUUCCUUGGAGCGCUUCUUUUUCUUUUCUUUGGGCUUUGCAUACUCUUCGGCUCUGCCCCGGCAUCAUCGACUACUUCCUAUGUAGGAGAGGCCAUCUGGAGUGGUCUAGUGUAGACCACUAUUGCUAAUGAAUUGCAUUGCUCCUCACUGGUUACCUUAGCAACUUUCAUCGGUUUUACUCUAGCUCACUCCAAAUUAUCAUUAUUUGCAUCCACAUGCUCGGGUGCUGUGAAAGUCUUCUCAACAAAAUCUUCUUCUUCUUUUUCUUUCUUAUUUUCAGUAACUUUUUCUUCUUUAGCAACAACUUCCUCUUUUGUAGCAGUAACUUCCUUCUCAACAAUAGUGUCCUCUUGAUCAGCAAAAAUACCACCCUUAAACAAGCUAUUAAUCUUUCACAGGCAUUUGUCAAUGUCCCUAGAUUCCUCUUCUUUCUCAUUAUCAGAGACCUGCACAAUGGGUGGGGAUGCCACCGAUCUAUCUCGGUAUUCUAAGUCGUCAUCCGGGGAAAAGAGGUCAUAAUUACGAAUGAUUGGUGGAAACAUUGGGAAUUCUGGUAGUGGAGAUGGGCUUAGUUGGCCUCAUGCGGCUACAAUAGAACUGUUCCAGGCUCUGGUAUAUUCAUAAAGCAAAUUCUAGGAUUUCUCCAUAUCUUCUACUGUAGCUACAAACCUGAUCUGCCUGUUGUUGAUGGAUUUUGCCAUUUUUCGACAUAUUUUAAUUUGCGGCAUAAUGGCAUCUCUGCAUUCAGGUUUGUUCUUUUGCUGUCGGCUUUGCUUUGCCCUUUCUUACCUUACUAUUUUUUGCCUCCUUCACUAUUGACAUGUCCUUGCCACGAGUCAUUCUUUCUACAGAGGCUUCAUUGAUUGGGCCCUUAUUUCUAAGAUUUCCUCGCCAGCACAGGGCACAAUUCCUCUUUGCUGGUGUAAUAUCACAAGUGAUGGGAAAACCAAGAUCUGAGUCUGCCUUGAGGUGCAGUCAACUAUUUCUUGGUGAAGUAUUGCGCCUACAUCAAUUUGUCUGCCCUUGAUAAUAGAAUGUAUCAGACACAUUCUAUUUAGGGUGACUGUGGUGUUGUGAGUGGAGGGUUUGAGCCUGCAGUUGACAAAAUGAAACCAAAAUUUUCCUUACUGUGUCAGGAAGUGACGGUGCAUCGUGUAAUUCUUUUGAUUGGAACCCGUCCACAUUGCUCCCUCGACACACAAGUCUCUCACAAACAGGUCUCAUUUUUCAUCAGUGAUGUCAUCAAUAAACUCAGAGUGUUCAUCGACAUUGACCUUGGUGUUGUACAGCUUGUUGAAUUUUUUAGCAUCUGAUGGUAUUAAACCUUCUCGAAUGAAAAUGAACUCUGACUCAUGAUCGUAGAGAUUAGCAUAGAACUCACGUACCAAUGAGGGAGAGUAGCUACCGGGAUGGGUGCAAAAAUUUUCCCACUUUAACUUCGAGAUGGUUUUAGAGACUUGUUUACCCAAGUCUUGUUAUGGUGAAAGGGCAAUACCCUAUUCGGGAUGGAAAUUCUGCUUCAACAUGUUGUCAUGAAAUCAUUCCUUUGCUGCUUUAUUCGAGAAGAUUAUUGGCUCCUUUGUCUGUACUGACCUGGGGGAUUUCAAUUCAUGAACUGUGGUAGCAGAGGAUACAUAUUCUCAGUAGAUUUGGUACCUUUCUUAAACGAGCCUCUUAUUUUGGCCAUCUCUUGUUGAGGGAGAAUGAUUUAAAGUUAAAAAGAUAUGGUCUUGAGAAGAGAAAAAAAUAAAAAUAGUUGCUUGAAUGCAUUAUAGUCGGUACAGUGGGAGAGGAUUUAUAGUGAGUGAAAGAGGAAGAUGGAGAGGCGUGUUGUUUUGUAAAGAGAUAUAAGGCUGGCGGGAAGAGUUGUGUCCAAUAGAAAUUGUGCCCGGUCAGAAAGAUCUAACGACUGAGUGUGGUGGAAUCUAAAUUUCUUUGAAUUCUGAUGGGAUAUAAAUGGUAGUACAAAAUUAUGGAAUGCGCCGACAGCAGAAGUUUAAUGCGUCGACAAAGGUACCUAAUUUAUUCUGCAAAAAGGAAGGAAAAAAACUUUAACAAAACAUAAAUAAAAUAAAAUAAAAUCAUAGAGUAUUAAUUAAAAAUGAAAAUUUUUUGAUCAAUUUAAUGGUCUGUGCCUACUUUUGAUCAUUGUUGUCAAAAUAGUGUUUCAGCCUCUAUCCAUUUACUUUAAACUGGUGUCCAUCACAUAAAUCUCGAAUUGUGAUUUCACCAUGAGGAAAUACGGCUACAACUUCAAAAGGUCUAGACCAAUGUAAACCCAAUUUACCUUGGUGCAAUUUGAGUCAAGAAUUGAAUAAUAAAACUUGCUGACCCGCGAUAAAUUGUCGCUGUAAAAUAAUCUUGUCAUGCCAUCAUUUGGUCUUUUCCUUAUAAAUUGUAGCAUUUUCAUAAGCAUUUCUCCUAAUCUCCUCUAGUUCAGUGAUAUCCAAUAGUCUUUUCUUUCCAGCUGUUUCAUAGUCCAUGUUCACUUGCUUAAUUGCCAACAUUGCUUUGUGUUCCAGUUCGACUAGCAUGUGACAUGCUUUCCCAAAAAUUAAUUGAUAUGACGACAUCCCUAAUGGAGUUUUGUAUGCUAUUUGCAAUACCCAUAAAGCAUCAUCCAAUCAGAAAGACCAAUCUUUCCUUGAAGGUUUUACAACCUCCUUAAGAAUGUUCUUAAUUUUUUGAUUUGAUAGUUCGACUUGUCCAUUGGUUUGCAGAUGAUAAAUAGUAGUCAUUCUAUGAUUAACUCCAUAACUCUUCAGUGCAGUCGCCACGUGGUUGCAAUGAAAGUGUGUACCCUGAUCAUUAAUCAAUGCCUUUGGUGUGCCAAAGCGGGUAGCACUGUCUUUGUAUCAUCCUUUGGGACUGCAACAGCUUCAACCCACUUCGAAAUGUAGUCAACAACUAUUAAUAUAUAAAGAUUACCAAAUAAGCUCAGAAAUGAUCCCAUAAAAUCCAUACCCCAAACAUUGAAUAAUUCAAACUCCAUAAUUGGCUGCUGCAACAUUUUAUUACAUCGGGAUAUAGAACCGGUGCGUUGACACCUAUCGCAUUAAUUCACAAAAUUAUGGGUGUCUGUGAAUAAUGUCAGCCAGUAGAAUCCUAAUUGGAUAACUUUAGCCGUGAUUUUCAUGCCACUGAAAUGACCUCCAAAAGGAGCAUCAUGACAAUGCUUCAGGAUUGAAAACAUCUCCUCUUCCGGAACACAACGUCGAAUGAUGUUGCCAUUGCAUACCUUGAACAAAUACGACUCGUUCCAAUGAUACUUCACUACAUCACGAAGAAAUAUUUAUUUUUUUAUGGCCUAUGACACCCAAUGAGAGUUUUCCACAUACUAGAUAAUUAACAAAAUCCGCAUACCAAGGAGUUGCAUCUACAACAAAUAAGUUCUCAUCUGGGAAUGCGUUGACAAUUUGAAGUAUGUUUCUUUCUUCAUUACCAACUUCCAAUCGAGACAGAUGGUUUCCAUCUUGAUUCUCUGAACCCUUAUGAUCUUUUAUCUCAAUGUCAAAUUUUUGCAACAGUAAUAUCCAGCCUAUCAAUCUUGGUUUGGCAUCCUUUUUCGCAAAGAUAUAUCUCAACACUGAAUGAUCAGUGAAUACAGUAACCUUUGUGCCGACAAGAUAUGAACGAAACUUGUCAAAAGUAAAGACUACAACCAACAAUUCUUUCUCUGUGGUAAUAUAAUUGAGUUGAGCUUCUGUAAGAUUUUUGCUAGCAUAAUAAAUGGCAUGAAAAAUUUUCACCUUUCUUUGUCCUAGAACUGCACCCACAACAAAGUCACUUGCAUCGCACAUAACUUCAAAAGGUUGGGAGCAAUCGGGUGCAAUGACAAUGGGUGCAUUCACUAGCUUCUUUUUUAACUGAAUAAAUGCAUCCAAACAUGCAUCGUCAAAGAAGAAUUUUCAAUUCUGUUCCAGCAAUAAGCAUAAGGGCUUUGCAAUUUUCGAAAAAUCUCUAAUAAACCUUCGGUAAAACCCCGCAUGUCCAAGAAAAUUGUGGAUACCUUUCACGUUUGUUGGUGGAGGUAAUUUUUCAAUGAUUUCCACAUUAUCUUUGUCUACUUGAAUGCCUUGACAAGAGAUGCGAUCGCCUAACACAUUACCUUCAGUUGCCAUGAAAUGACAUUUUUUCCAAUUCAGGACAAGAUGUGUGUCCUCACAUCGCUUUAGUACUUUAUCCAAAUUGUCAGUGCAAUGAUUAAAAUUAUUCUCAUAGACUGAGAAAUCAUCCAUAAAAACCUCUAAAGAGUCUUCAAUCAUAUCUAAGAAUAUUUCUAUCACACACCUUUGAAAUUUGGCUAGUGCGUUGAAAAGAUAGAAAGACAUAGGGUGAAAAGUGAAUGUACCAAAGGGGCAGGUGAAAGUUGUUUUCUCCUCAUCCUCCGGUGCAAUAGCAAUUUGAUUGUACCCAAAAUAGCCGUCUAAAAAGCAAUAAUAGGCCUUUCCAGCAAGCCAAUCUACUAUUUGGUGGAUUAAAAGAAGUGGGAAAUGAUCCUUCUUUGUGGCCGUAUUUAAUUUGCGAUAAUCCAUACAAACUCGUCAGCCCAUGGGAAUGCAUGUAGGAAUUAAUUCAUCCUUACCGUUGUGAACCACAGUGAUGCCACUUUUUUUAUGCACGCAUUGCACUGUACUUACCCAAUUGCUAUAAAAAAUCUGGUAAAUAAUUCGAGCUUCAAGCCAUUUUAUGAUUUCUUUCUUGACAACUUCUUUCAUCUUCUCGUUUAAUCUUCUUUGCUAUCGAUUGCUUGCCUUCAUCUUCCGACUUGAUCUUGUACAUGCAAAAAGAAGGAUUAAUGCAUUGAAUAUCGGCAAUACUCUAAGCAAUAGCUCGUUUAUGUUGCUUGAGAAUAUGGACUAAUUUCUCUUCUUGAAUUACAUCCAGUGGGCGGAGACAAUAACUGGGAGAGUAUUGUGGCCACCUAGAAAGACAUAUUUAAGAUGAGGAGGUAGUGGUUACAAUUCUAGAGUAGGAACUUCUUCAAUAGAUGGCUUGAAAAUUGGGGUUGUUCUAUUGGCUAGGUCUAAGGAUUCAAUCUGCCAUCUAUGCUUGGGUUCAAGAUUAUGAGCUUCAAACAUGCUGUCACAAUUUUCUAAGGAUUCGACAUCAAAUGUCACUACAAACUCUUCAGAAAGUACUGUACUUUGGUCAUUGAACUCUUCCUCAAUUAGAUCAUCUAGCACAUCUACAAUAUGACCUUCUUCUUUGUCCUUGCAUUGAAUAGAUUCAAAAACACUGAAGGUGACUUGCUCAUCAUUAAGUCGUAUGGUUACCUUUAUAAACAUUAAUAAGAGUCCUACCGGUGACUAAAAAUGGUCGUUCCAAGAUUAUAAGAACCUCCUUGUCUGCCUCGUAGUUAAGUAUGAUAAAAUCAGUCGGAAAAUGAAUUUAUCCUCACAAACUAAGAUGUCUUUUAUUUGCCCUUCAGGUUGAGCCAAGAAUCGAUCAACUAGUUGUAAUGUCACUGCGGUAGACUUCAUGCACCAAUUCCCAACUUUCUGAAAGUAGAUAGUGGCAUUAGGUUAAUGCUAGCUCCCAAGUCGCAUAAAGCCUUACCCAAAUAAUGAUUGCCAAUUGAACAUGGAAUGGUAAAGCUUCUAGGAUCUUUCAAUUUAGGGGGCAACUUGUUUGUCAAAACAACACUAUAGCCUUCUGUGAGUGACAUAGUUUUAAUAUCAGUGAGCUUCUUCUUCUUGGACAAGAGGUCUUUCAUAAAUUUCCCAUAACUCAGAAUUUGUAUUAGAGCAUCUACUAAAGGAAUGUUGAUCUGCAGUUGCUUCAGUGUGUCCAGGAACUGCUGAUACUAUUUGUCAUGCUUAUUUUUCCUGAAUCUUUGUGGGAAGGGUAAAGGUAGAGAUAUAUCUGCUUGCACUAACAUCUUUGAUUGCGUCGACAGUUUCGAAGGUCAGACAUUAGGCAUAUAUGAGUGACAAUUUGUGGAACUUCUUUAUCUCAUGCAUUGACAAACUCUUUAGAUUCAACCUUCUCACUAGUUAUUACACUAUCCGUAUCUUGAGGUGCUAUAGUACGGUUUGCUAGUUUUUUUACCACUCCAAAGAGUGAUAGCCUUACAAUGUUAUUUUCCCCUCAGACUAGGAUUUUUCGUGUCACUAGGUAAUGAGCCUGAUGGUCGAGUAUUCAGAUUUGAAGCAAGUUGUCCUAAUUGUGCCUCCAAAGCUCGAAUGGAAGAUGAAUCCCCUUGUAUGGUAGCUUUCGCGUAAGUAAUAGGCUCCCGCAUUAAUGUCUCAAGAGUUGCUAAUGGGUCAGAAGUAGAAGCUUGUGUGUACAGUUGCUGUCGAUGUCCUUGAACAUGUUGAUUUGGUACUGAAGAGUGUUGUGGUUGCAUCAGAAUUUGGUGUGGAUGUGUCUGGCCUUGUUAUGGAUGCCUUUGAGUGUGCUGAUUGUAGUUUUGCAAUUGUUGAUUGUACUUCCCUUGCCUGGGAUUAUAAUUACCCUAAUUAGAUGUACUCCCACAUCUGAAUGUCGCAGCAUUUUGUCUAGCAUUCUGAGUUCCCAAAACGGUUGCUUGCGUGUAGAGUUGUUGUAAGAAUUACCAUAAGAAUUGUUGCGGAUGUUACUAAUAUAAUAGGCAUUCUUUGCAUGUUGUGGACAAUCUUCAUAGCUAUGGUUGUCACUACAAAUCUCACAACAAAAUGUAGGAACAUCAACUUGCUCAGCGACUUGUAUAGGUGCUACUCCGCUAGUUCCUUGCAUAUUUUUAAUCAUGUUUGUGAGAGAAAAAACUUGAGCACUUAGUGCAGUUAUUGUACCCAAUUCAAUAACUCAUAGAGUAGUUUUUGCUCGUACAGCUCUAGAGAUAGGAUAUUGAUAAUCAUUCUGGUAAAUUCUCUCAAGAAUUCUCACAGCAUCAUUAUAAGUACAACCCAGCAGAGGUCUAUUGGCUGAUGCGUUGACAAGAUUCCUUGUAUGUGAAUUCAUUCUAUCAUAAAAAAUCUCAGUUUGUGUUUUUGGUUGAAUGUCUUGCAUGGGGAAACGUCAACGUAAAGGUUUAUAACAUUCCCAUGGGGAAAUGUCGUGCAUCUUCAAGGCAUAAUCAGGAAUGCCUUGUCGACUAAAGUAAGCACAGAUCAAUAAAAAGGAUUUAAGAUGUUCUCUCGCAUCUUCAUGUGGCAGUCUAACAUAUUAUCCAUUAGAAUUCAACAUUUGAAACAUUACUGGCUUAAGUUCAAAAUUCCCAGCUUGGAUUACUGGCCUAACAACUCCUGGUUGUAAAUCAUCCAAAACAAGUACUACAAAAUCCCGUACAGUCCUAUUUUGUAUGCGAGCAUCUUGCGGCAACAAUAGGUUAUUAGCAUUUUGUUGUUGCAUCGAGGGUAUGGUUGUAUUGUUCCCUAGUAGAGCCAUAUUUGUUUGUUCUUGAAGUCUAUUCUGAACAGUCCUUUCAAUUUCUAAAUCAAAAUUGGCAAGAAAAUUUGAAUUUCUUCAGGACAUAAAAUACCUAAAUUGAAGUUAAAGAAAUCGCAACAAAGAAAAAAAUAGUUAGUGAAUACGAAAUGUUAUAUAAGGAAAAUAAAGUGCAAAAACACACAAAAAACAAAAAUAAACAUCAAAAAAAUGCCAUCACCAGCAACGGUGCCAAAAACUUGAUCAACUGUUUAACAUCACAACAAUAAUGUGCAAGCGUACACUGUCGAUGCACGUAUAGUAGACAGAUGUGAGUCUAUUGGAUUUCGAUCCCACAGGGAUGGUAGUCUUUUGUCUAUUAAUGUUAGUGCAAUAACUAGAUAGAAACGUGGUAAAUUGUAAGAAUAGUUGUCGAUGCAAUAACUUGAAAACAAUAAAAUAAAAUAUGACAGUAAUAAACUGGGAUCCCCGACAUGAAUCUUCAGCAGAAUGCUAAGUGCUCACAAGGUAUAAAGAGAUAGGUGAUUGUUAAAGCAAUAAAGUUCAAUAUAUAUCUUACACAACGUCACUCAUCUAUUUAAUCCGAGACUUAAACCUACAUACUAACCCCCCACCUUCUGGUGAUGGCAGUACCACACUAUUAAGAACAAGUGGACUAAAUUCCUCUAAUCCUCACUCAGCUUCUAUUGAAAUGCUUGUUGGCUCGAUCUGUCACUGCACUUUCCAGUGCCAGUGACUAUAAUAACACCUCCAUGUAGCAAAAACAUUCAAACCCUAAGAUUAAGCAAUAAAAGGAAGAUUGAAUAAGAUAACAUUUCCCCUAGAAUUCAUGCGUACAUCCAUACAAAAAGAAAAUAGAGAAUAAUCACUAGCAUUGAGAAAGAAAUAAGAAAGAAUCAAGUGGAGAAUAUUAUUUCUGGACAACUCGACUGAAUCUCUCUAUUCCCUCUUGUCUCGCACUUAAGUCUCCUUGUUAGAAGCUAGUCUACAUUUGGUUUUCACGUUGGCUCACCCGUGAGAGGCUUAAGCUGCCAUGGCUGCUAGCUUCAAGGUACGAUGAUGAAGACGAUGAUCUAAAAAAACUCUCUUUUUCUUCUCACGUCCACCUUUUAUGUCCUCAUCCAACAUGUUGGUUAUACCAGACUGGACAGCUCACGCAAUUUUAGUUCUUAUCCGAAAAGCUGUCAAGUGCGGCGACAAUUUGGGAUGCAAUCUGGAAUUUCACUCAUUCCGCGACAUUAAUGCAAAAAGAUAGCAAAAUUAAGGAUAAAAUAGGCUAGGAUUCACUGAGUUAUAAAAUACAAUUUACUAAACUGAAAAUGCUAAAAUGUAUGCUAAGGAUAACUAAAUGGGAACAAUUUAACCAAUAAGUAAGGGGAAAAACCUAUGGUCUUUCUAGUGCUAUCAUUUGGUUUGGAUGAUUUCUUGGUUGGACGUUUGUAACGCUAUUGCCUCUCUUAUUCACCACUAUCAAUUGGGACUAGUUUUCCAGCAGUUGUCUUGUAACGUUUCCUUUUAUGCUGACUAAUAGGCACACCGUCUUCUGAAUCAAAGUUUGAUUUUGUGAGUUCAUCAACCAGUUGAUGAAUUGCACGUUCUUGUGCAGUUAUUGGUUCUUUCGAUCUUGGUGUGGUGGUAGUGGUAGUGUUGGCAGGUGCAGGAGCUUGAGUCACAUCAUCAUCUUCCUUUUCAGAUUCAACAUGAAAAUAUUCAAUUUUCUCUACUUUUCCUUUUUGUUUGGUGGUCUGCUUCUUCGAAGUAAGUUUUUCACCCUCAUCACUGUCCUUCUAGGACUCUAGCAACAACUUCUUAGGAAGAGCAAGGAUGUGGGCAUCUGAUGAGUAAAAUAGCUUUUUCCAUUCAUCUAACAUAGCCCCAAAAUAUGGCCAUUUCCUCUUGAGCCUUGCCAAUAUCAAUAGCCAUCAACCAUUGUUGCUUUUCUAAUUUCUAAAGUUGUUGCUGCAGGGCCUCUAAGAUCUCAAGCACCUUUUGCUCAAUUGCACUCUUAGAGGUUAUUGGAGCAGCAUCAGUGGGCCUGGGUGGAGAAUAUCAACAUCCCUUCUUUCCUGAUGUAAUGGCUUUUCUCGAACAUGAUCAUUUCUGAUUCUUUCCAUCUAUCGCAACUCUUUUCUCCUUCACCUUUGGGUUCUCUCAAUCUCAAUUUUCAUCAAUGUUGUCAAUCCCCGGCAACGGUGCCAAAAACUUGUUGCGUGUAAAAUUGUAUUGCAAAUGUGCAAGUGUACACGUUGAUUCAAGUAAUAUAAUGAUGAGUGAGUAUUGUCUCCACAGGGAGCAGAAGUUGAUUUGAAUUGGUAAGUAUUAUUAAAGAUUUAACAAAUGGAGCUCUGCAAAAUAAACAAAGUAUAACUUGGUGAAGGGAAUUAAUGAAUGAACUAAUAAUAUCAAUUAUAACUGAAAAUGACCAUACAAUAUAAAUUCGUGGCAAUUCACAAGGAACAACUUGAGAGUAUUUCUGCUAUUGAAUGAUAAAGGUUGGAAUUACUUGGGGAAUAUUUUCAUAACAUAAUAAUGCCAUGGUAAUGUUGUGACUAAGCUACUACCCAGAGAUUUACUACUGCGGUCUACUUCUUUAGAGUGUUAAAAUUUAAUUAUUAUUCGGAGUUAGUGUAUCUAUACAAGACUCACGAAUGAUAACUCAACUAUGUUUUACACCCGUACAGAUUGCAUCUUCUAUAUCUAGAAUGUUGUGAAUAUUCUUUCGAGUACUCGCAUGUAUCAAACGAUUACUAGUCUAAUGUAUUUCAUCCUUUCAGAUUCAAAUCCAUCUAAGAUCAUAACACACAGUCAACGAUGUCUAGAGUUUGUAUGCAUCCAUUCCAAUAAACAAGAAUCAAAUGAAACAAUAAUCUUAAUCAAAAUCAUAUUAUGGGCAUUACAACUAAUUAAAUAUUCACCCAAAUAAUUCCAACCCAAAUAUAAUUAGCUCAUGGGUUAGGCAAUGAAAUCCAAAAUUAAAUCAUUCACCAACAUUUCUCAAGAUUUACAAAUCACAGAAUUCAAAACCAAGAAAACAGAACAAAGGCAAAAUUAUUGGAAGUUCCAGCUGCACUCCAACUUCUUAUCGAGAUUCUAUACAGAACCUAAGAAAGAUUUCUCUUCCCUUUCUUUACGCCUGUGAUCUCCCCUUUUUAGCUGCUACCCUCUUCUUCCCUUCUGGAUUACUCCAUAGGAUUUUGUUAUAGAGAGAGUAACCACUCUCUUUCUUUUAUUUUCUCCUCACAAUCCGUAUAUUUUCUUCUCUUCUCUCAUUAUUUUAUAGAGUAGAUUUGUCCCUUUCAGCACACAUAUUUUACUCAUUUUUUUAUGGUGAUUUAUCUGGUACACGUACAGCUGGCUGAGAGUGACGUGGAUUUAGUGCUGCGCCAUCUUCCUAGAAUUGUCGUGGCAUUUCUAUUGGCAAUCUAUUCCACCAUUUGCCGUGGCAAUGUUUCACCUCAUUCGUUCACUUUUCCUCUUUCUCUUUUCCUUCUUCUUGCUUCUUUUAUCCUAACUGCACCUACUACCAAAGACUACCAAACCUCUUUCCAGCAAUUAAAAGUAACAUAAAUUUAUAGUUAAAACAUAAUCCAAGCUUUAGUAUAUAAUGCUCUAGUAAUAAGUCCUAAAAUGCAAACAUAUUUUCUUAAUUACAAGAAAAUACUUUAGUGAAGAUGCCUAAAAUAUAAAUAUUUUCAAGAGUUAUCAAUUAUCCUCCUUUAUUAUACUCUAUAUCAACAAUUACUUUAUUAGUAUUUUAACCAAAUAACAAUUAUAUUUUACAUUUUGUAAUUUGUCUAUAAAAAGAUAAAUAUUUAUAAUUAAAAAAUGUUAUUUCUAAAAUAAGAUAUCCUUAAUAUUUUUUUUUGCUAACAAUAAUAAUCUAUUAUAAUUUUCACAAUUAAAAACAAACUAAUACUUUUAUUUUGAGUUGGUAUACUAAUUAAGAACUAAAGUCACUAUAUUGAUUAAACUACUAAUUGAUUGUUUUAGUAAAACUCAUAUAAUUAUUUCAUAUUUAAUAAUAUGUAUAUAACAAUUAUUUUUUUCGUUCCUAUAAAUUUCUUAUAUUUUAAUUUUUUUAAUUCAGAUCAAAAUUUAAAAUAUUUUUUUAUAUAUAACAUUGAUUAUACUCUAUUUAGGGAUGGUGUUAAUUUUUAUUUUAUAAUGUUUUGAUAUAAUAAAUUAUCCCUAAAACAAUUUUGAUCAAAUAAUUUUUUAAGAAAAUAUUUUCAAGAUAUUCUCUAAAAACAAAAGGCUAUAAUAGAAUAAAAAGAUAAAAAGUAAAGAACAAAGAAAAUAGGAGAGCAAAAGAGAGAGUAUAUUUUAUUGAUCAAUGGGAAUAUUUACAAAGUUUCUCCAAAGUCUAUAUUUAUAGACAUAAUAAGUAUAGAUGAAGUAGAGAUCUACUUCUAAUGACUAUUAGAAUUUAAAAAAAAUAAAAACUUAUCUUGAUCUUGAUGGACAUCCACUUAAUAAGAUAUUCAUAACACUCCCCCUUGAAUAUCCAUUGCUAGAUAAUGUGCCUCGUUAAAACCUUAUUAGGAAAAGCCCAAUGGGAUUAAAAACCUAAUGAAAGAAAAAGAGUACACAAUCUGUCUCGUUAAAAAGCUUUACCAGGAAAACCCAAUGGGACAAAACCUUGGUUAAGGAAAAAGAAAACAAUGCAAUUUACUUCCCCUCAUGAAAACAUCACAUAAUAUCUCAUAUUCUACGUAUUUAAUCUUAAAUACUAGCUUUUGAGAUGAGCAUUUAUAUCAUCAUUCUUUUCAAAGUCAUGAGUGAGGGAAAAUUUGGGGAAAUAUAUUUUGAACUCUUCCAGAGUUUCAACAAUAAUCAUAGCAAACUUUAAUCAUGAUUCUUCUAUAAAAACCCAAAUAGGUAUUUUGGAUCAUUUUAUAAUCCUCUUUUAACUAUUAUUCACUAAAUCAAAUUUACCACAUAUGUUCAAAUUAUUUCAAUUCAUAUAUAUGAACAAUUUCCCGAGAAUUUCCAUAUGCUUUUAGCAUUCUAAAUCCUUCAAGGAUUUUAAUAUAAACUUUACACUAUAUAUUAAUUCAUAAAAAGGUUGGAACAACUAUUAGACGCAAGUUAAAUCUUUUAUGAAUUGUCAGCUUAAUAAUAUAUCUAAAGGUUAUUGCAUCCACCACAAAAGAAUAUUAUAUCUUUUCAUAAUUAAUGCUAGGACUUAGUGAAAACCUCAUAGUUUUAUUCCUCUUUUUGCAAAACUACUUCAUUUGUACCCUCAUUAGCUUUAUACCUUUUGAUAUUUGGAAUGCUUGUCCAAAAACUCUACGAAUUUGAGUUGUAUCUUUCUAUUUUCACCAACCUAUUCCAUAUCUAUAUUUCUCAAUAGAUUUAUUCAAGAUUCUCAUUUUAUUUCAUUAUUUCAACAAUAAUAUUGUAUACAAAACAAUUGUCAACCACUUUUAUUAUCGGUUCCAUAUUUCCUCGAAUUGACAUAACUUAUUGAGAUAUCUUAUUUUUACUAUUUUAAUCUUCAGUUCAGGUACCUGAAUAUCUUUAAAAGUUUUACUUAUUAGUUAUGUAUUGGGUCUCUUCUAGAGCACCCACCUUCACUAUAUGACCAUUUAGAUUUAUUUUUUUAUGAGAAUUUUUAUAUUUGAAACUUUUAAUGAGUUAUCAUUGUUGAACUUCUUGUUCAAAUUACUCUCCCCCUAACUCAUUACAAGUUAUUAUUUCUUUCCCCUUAAUGUUAGGAAAACUAUCGAAUCAAAAUAGUAAUCACAAAUCAUGUCAUAAUUGAAUCUCCAAUACAUCUAAAACAUCUAAUAAUACAAGGAGACUUGUAAUUAAUAUAUAUUCCAAACUUUCUUUGAGGAUUCACUCAUCUUUGUGCGUUCUGGUGGAGCAAUUAGAACAUAUAUGCACAUACAAAAAUUCAAAGAUGAAAAAUAUUUAGCUCUUAACUAAAAACCAAUUGUAAUAGGGAGUAUUUAUAAUUUAUUGGCUUGAUGCGUACAACACGUAAAUCAACAUAACCUCAUGUUGAAAUAGGAAAGUUAGUUCUUAUAAGUAAUGGUUUAGAUAUUAAUCAAAGGCAUCCAAUAAAUGAUUUCUCUAAACCAUUAUGUGAAUAAAUAACAAGCUUUUAUAAAAAAUUUCAAACUAAAUAAAAAAAAGACUGAGAUAUAAACUUAUUAGUAUUAGCAAGAUGAAUUGUCUUAAUUGCAUGAUCUGAAAUUAAUUAUUUAAACAAACAAUCUUACAAAUGACAUGUUGCAAGUUGAUAACACAUAUGUGAUUAUUUUGUAGAUGCAUCUACCAAAAUCAUAUAAUCAUCCACAUGGUGGAUGAAUUAGCCCAUAUUCAUUUAAAAAAUGCAAGACAUUAAAUCUCAACUUUAGCUAGUGAGUUUCUAAGAAUCAAUUUUCAUUGAGAAUAAGCAACAACUGAGAAUUCUUUAAAUUAAAGAAUCUUUUGGUUCUUUAAUGAAUUUCAAUAUGAAUUCUCAAUUAAUUUUUGCAUAAUAUAUGACCCAAUAUGGUCUAACUAGUCACGCCAAGUAGUAAAUGCAUUUGUAUUAGUAAACUUCUAGUUUACUUUUACAUGCAUUUCAAUUGUACUAAUAAUGUCAAUAUAAAUUGUGACAAAUUGAUAAUCUUACUGUCAUUCCUUUUACUUUGUAUCUAUAUGCAAUAUUCGCUUCAAGAAAUAUGCCGAAAUCUUCAAAUGUCCAAAAAAAAAAACAAAACUUACAACUUCAGAUGCAUCCAACCAUAAUGAGCUUUAGAUAUAAUUACCAUAUUCUAUUACUCAUAAAUACAUCUUUCACAGUCAAUUAUUUUGCUUUCAACCCCUGAAUGGGGAUGAUGACAAAAUAAGAUCACAAAGAUAAUCACAAUCAAUUCAAUUUAAUAACAAGAGUAAUAAAUAUAAAUUAAUAACUCAAUCUUCUCUUUUUUCAUCCUUUCAAAAUAGAUAUUUAUAGCAAUAGUGAUUCAUAUAGAAUAUAACAUUUUCUUCAUUCACAAUAUCAAUAUGACAUCCAUUAUAAUAAAUAUCUUUUAAAACAAAUGCAUUAACCAUAACAAAUUUUGUGCUUUUUAGAUAUUGAUAUAUUAGCUCUUCUAGAGCUUUCAACUAAUUUUGUACUAUCAAACAUUGAAAUAAUAUUUAUUUGUUUCAAUAUCAAAUAAGAUAAAUAUUUUCUAUCUGUAAUGAUAGAAUUCGUUACUACAUUCUCAUAUCCUUCCUCAAAGAAUAUUAACAGAAACAAAAUAUUUAGGUAUACGCCACAUAUGUAGCCAAUAAUCUUUCAUAUCACAUUGAUAACCUAAGUUAUCUUUAACCCUUAAAUAGUUAUAUUGAGAACUCUUAUUAUUCUCUUAUUUAUUACUAUGUUCAUUUCGGGGAAUGCAAUGAAUCUAAUAGGACAAACUUCAAAACGCCUCCAUUGAUUCUUUAUUUCAUACUCACCAUCUCAAACAUACGUUGAUUUCAAAUUAAAAAAUAUCUAUUCAUGCUGUCAUGAUUAGUCUCCAAUUAUAUAAACGUGAUAUAAUAAAUAAAUCAUAGUAAAAUAUACUUGAAGAUCUGAGUGGUUAAAGGCUCUAAUGAUUACGCAUAGUGCGCAUACCUCAAUUGAAAUAGCAGCAACUCCAGGAGGCAAUCAACAAUAGCAAAUUUUGUGAUAUUUUUGUGACUUAUGGAGAAAAAAAUUAAAAGAGAACAGUGCUGAUAACAUGUUAUAAAAUAAAAAGAUAGAAAAUAAAGUACAAAGAAAAUAGGAGAGCAAAAAAGAGAGCAUAUUUUAUUGAUCAAUGGGAAUAUUUACAAAGCUUCUCCAAAGUCUAUAUUUAUAGACAUAAGAAGUAUAAAUGAAGUAGAGAUCUACUUUCAAUGAUUAUUAGAAUUUAAAAUACAUCAAAACUUAUCUUGAUGUUGAUGGGCAUCCACUUAAUAAGUGUGAAAAUCAAACAUUGAUAAUGACAUAGAACACAAAAAUUUUAUGUGAAAACCCUUUUGGGAAAAACCAUGGGCAGAAGAGAAGAAAAAUUCACUAACUGUUGAAUUCGAAUAAUACAAGAGGACAGACGACUACAUCUAUUUAUAGGUUUAAAAACCUUAUUCUAAUCAAAGUCUAAUAGAAGUAAUGCAAUAAAGUUGAAAAACCUUAUACAAAUCAAUAUCAAAUAGAAGAAGUAUAAUUCUAUAGAAUUCCACUUCUACAGUCUGUACCAUACCGCAGGGGCCUUCGGCCCGUGUUUACAUUCCCAGUCUAAUUUUAUGCUUAAUGGGGAUUUACGAUGAGCUAUAGCCCUCGGCUUUCACCCCCACAAAUCCCUCUAUCUUGCCACUUUUUUAAACAGAAAUUUGGGUCACAAAACUCUAACAAUAAGAUCUUCAUAACAAAAAACAAAAAAUUGGGUUACAUUAAGACAAGUGCGGUACCCAAGAGUCAAUGGGCAAUUUGAGAUAGAAGUACCACACCCCUCCCUCAAAGGAACCACUCCCCUUUUAGUUUGUCAAAGACUUUUGUUUCCCAAAUAUUGCACCCUAUAAAGAGGUAUCACACCCCUAAUAAAGAGUUAACGCACCCCUCCCAGCUAAGGUGCGGUAGUUGUGCCUUAAAUGGUUACUUUUUGACCAAAGGAACUAAAUCCCUAUGGCUUGGAUACUAGUACUGAAAGGCUUGUAGAAGUAAUUAAUGUUGCAAUUAAAGACUCCGAUGACAUUAAUUUAUUUCUAACUUCGUCAAAUGACUAUUAAUCCAUGAGAGAGUUUAAAUGGAGCACAACAACACUCAGAAGAAUACAAGAAAUAAGCUUACAAAUAUUAAGAGGAAAAUUCCAAUUCUUUUCACUAUAGUUCUCAUUUUCUCUUGGAUACACUUGUGGGAUUAAUUUUGAUUCAUUCUUCACAAAAUGUUGUAUUGUUGUUUGAGAGUGUUUAACUAUUACAAAUAAAACUUCUAGGGUGAUAAUCAUUUUAUAUUUUAUUUCUCAUUCUUCUGUAAAGAAUUACUUAAGGUUUUGGGUAGAAAACCUUAAAAGGAAGCGACUUUAUCUGACCUUGUGAAAAGAUAGAGAUUGUAAAGGUUAAACAUUGUCCUUAAAUGAUUCAAAUCUAGUGAAUUUGGAAAAUUCUUAUUGGAGAUAAGCAACUGGGGACAAACCACUAUAAUUUCUUGUGUCUAUUUCUUGCCAUCUUUGUUGAAAUUUUUUAUUUACCAAUUCACCCUCCUUUGGUGUUUAUUGAUCAUAACAAAUGGCAAAACCCGUAUCGUUUUGUUGAUUUUGAAUCAGUCCACUUCAAUUGGACUAGAAUUUUUUUUUUGAAAAGUGAAUGCGAGGCGAGUGGAUUUUUUUGGAUAAUGGAUAUGGAGUGGUUAAUGUAAUUGCUUGCCUUGCUUUGCCUCUUCGCACUAUAUGAAAUUACCAUUUUACCUUUAUAUAUAUAAUUGUUACAAUGGUAAAAUUGCAAUAAUGUAUUAUAUAUAAACUCAUAUGUUUAAUGAUAAUUUUUUUUGAACAAUUAUGUUUAAAUAUUUACUUGACUUUAAAAAAAUUGAAAACAUUACGAACCACUAGCAAAAAUUAAAUUGAAGUGGACUGAGGCAGGUGGGAGAUAGGUGCAUCCAAUAUCUUCGGAGGUGGUAAUAGUCCUCAAGAUUAUACAUCUAUAGUGAAGUGAAAUGGAUGGCGGAGCAGAGCGUGCCAACUAUGUAGCAGUGGUAGAUUUAGCAACUUCCGCCCCGCUCUACUCCAUUGUCAUCCCUAAUCCUAUCCAAAAAAUCAUUAACAUGCUUAUAGGGACCAUUUUACCAAGAAAUGUUCAUUUCCUACUUUAUUUAUGGAAAUGGGCCACUGUAUUUAUUAUUUACCGAAAUGGGCCAAAAAUACUAAAACGCGUCCACGAAGAUGUGUUUUAAGGGAAAUUCCAGAAAAACGUGUCCCUGAGGGAGCGAUUUUGCCAUGUCAGCAAAAAACACGCUUACAUGGACGCGCUUUGCUAACAUGGAAAAAGCGCUCCCUCAGGGACGCGCUUUAGCCCAUUUUUUCUAGGGUUAGGGCUAUUUGCAUGUUUAGUGCCUAAGGUUUAUGGGUUUAGGGUUUUAGUGGUUUAAGGUUAGGGUUUUGUUAAAAAAAUAUAGGAAUUUAUUUGUUUAGGGUUUAGAAUUUUUUUAAAAAUUAAUUAAAUUAGGUUUUAGGGGUUUUAAGUAAAUUAAUUAAAUUAAGGUUUAGUGUUUUUAAGAAAAUUAAUUAAAUUAAGGUUUAGGAUUUAAAAAAUAAUAAUUUUGUGUUUAGCUUUUAGGGUUUUUGUAGAAGGGUUUAAGGUUGAGUCUUGAAAAAAUUAUAUUGACAAGAAGGAUUUUGUUUUCUUUUCUACAGUAGUUUUUGAAAAAUUAAUUUUGAGAAGACGGUUUUGAAAAAAUAGUGACAAAAACGCAUCAAGAGGAUGCACUAUUAGCAAAAGUAUUGAAAAAAGCUCCCACAUGAUGCUCUUUUUCUACAGUAGUUUCUGAAAAGAUACUUUUGAGAAGACGAUUUUGAAAAAAUAAUGUCAAACGUUUCAAGUAGCAUGCACUGUCAGCAAAAGUACUAAAAAAAGCUUCCACGUGGAUGCUUUUUUUCUACAGUAGUUCCUGAAAAAAUAAUUUUGAGAAGACGGUUUUGAAAAAAUAGUGUAAAAAAUGCUUCAAGCAGAAUGCACUGUCAGGAAAAGUACUAAAAAAGCUCGAACAUAGACUCUCUUUUUCUAUAGUAGUUCCUGAAAAAAUAAUUUUGAGAAGACGAUUCUAAAAAAAUAGUGUCAAAAACGCUUCAAAGAGGAUGCACUAUCAGUGAAAUUACUGAGAAAAGCUCCCACGUGGACGCUCCUUUUCUACAGUAGUUUCUGCUUGGCCUUAGGCUAUAAAUGAGACAAAUUUCAUUCUCAUGUUGCAUAAGUUAAAGCAAGAAAAAUUAGAGAGGUUAAGCAGAACAUAAAUUAAAGAUGAGUGAAUGUAUUAGUGCUGCUAUUUACUAUAAUGGUGACAUCCGUGACAUUGAGAAUGUCGUUGUUUUUUUAUUGGAAAACACAACGCAACUAGUUUUUAACCAGAACAUAGAUUUGACAGAACUUCGUAAAAGAAUUAGGUGCAAAAUCUUUGGAACGAUGCCAACGAGAGUUUCGUUUAUUAAGUAUCAAUUUUGUGCUUCGGUUGAUCCCAUGACAUAUGACUCAUUUGAUAUUAAAGGUGGUCAUAGCUUGGAGGCGAUGGUGCAGAUCAUCUUGCUAGUGGAUCACCCUAUCUUCAGUUAUAUAUAUAAUUUUUAUCACCAAAUGAAGCAUUUGUGACUUCAAAAUCUACUAUUGUUUGAGAGGAAUACACGACCCCUGCUCGACACUUCGUUAGAGGAAGGAAGAACACGGAAGCGCCCGUGUUUGAUGGCAAUAUGGAAUACACAACCCCUGCACGACACUCGAUUAGUGGAUGGGACAUGCACAUCGGUAGGUCGAUGUUUGAUGUUGGAAAUACGUACUGGGAAUGACAUUAAUUUCUAGUGGUUGGCAAUCCACAUCUGAUUGGGGACGUUACGAAGCAUCCACAAGAAAUGAUGGUGUACUCCCUUCGACGUCCACCAGCGAGGGGACCUCGUACAUUGCAGGUAAUGGUGGGUUGGAUGAUGAGUCCGAUAUGGAUCCACCUUGAGAGCCUAGCCCUGAUAGUGCAGAAGUUGUAUUAUUUUCUGAACUAAAGCCUGUUCCAAUCAAACCUGAAGACGGUGUAGGGGGUUUAGAUGAAGAAGAAGAAGAUCCACGAUUCACAGCGUACUCGCCCCCAGCCCACAUGCAUAAUGUCGAUCUAUAGGCAGAUGAUGCCAGAUCUACCACUCAGAAGGCGUGACCGUACAAGUUCGUCAUUGGAUUCAGGUGAAUUUAAAGUUGGUAAGGAGUUUUCCUAUAAGGAUAGUUUUCUUAGUACAUUGAAACAAUAUAGCAUCAUGAAUAGGGUUACCUACCACGUAGUUAAAUCCAAAUUCGAGCAGUUCAAGGCCAAGUGUGCAGUGCAAAACGGUACAUGUUCAUGGAAAGUCAUUCCUUCAGUUAGGAAAAAGAUAAGGUUGUGGGAGAUAAAAAAGUACAGAGGUCCACAUAAGUUUGUUGCCAGUACAAUAUCACUGGGUGUUUAGGGUUUUUGAAUAAUACUGUUAUUACUUAAUGUUGCAUUAUUUAACGUAAUUCGUUGACAGGUGUUUCACAAGAUCAUCCCAAGAUGGGUUCAGAUAUGAUAGCUUACUUAAUACUAUCGAUGGUGAAGGUGGAUCCCAGGACUUCUGUUUUGGUCUUAAUUGCCAAUAUUCACAGCCAAUUAAGGUACACGCCCUCUUAUUGCAAGGUCUGGAUAGCUAAGCCAAAGGUGUUGGAAAAGAUGUAUAGUGGGUGGGACGCUUCAUAUAAUGAGGUGUGGAAGUGGUGUCAAGUGCUGGAGAGGUACGUCUCAGGUUGCAUAACAAACCUUGAAACGGGCCCUGCAUACUACAACGACCGCUUGCUCCGUGGAUGCCAAGUGUUCAAGCAUCUGUUCUAGAAGUUUAAGCAAUGUCAGGACGAAUUUGAGAACUACAAGCCACUGGUACAAAUUGACAGUACCUUUAUGUAUGGUAGAUAUACCCAUCGACUAUUGCUAGUGAUGAUACCAGAAAGAACACAUGUUUUCUCCCUACUUAUUGGUUAAUUUGUCCCCAUUUAGUUAUCUUUAGCACAUAUUUUAGCAUUUGCAGUUCAGUAAUUUACAUUUUAUGACUCAAUGGAUCUUAGUUGAAUUACCCUUAAUUUUGUUUUAUUUUGGUACUUAUGUCGCUGCAUGAGUAAUUUUAGAUUGCACCCAGAAUUGUCACCACACCUGACAACUGUUUGGAUAGGAACAAAAAUGCAUGAGCUGUCUAGUUUGAUAUAACUAACUUGUACAUACAAAUGCAGCAUGAUUCUGAUGAAAGGACAUCUGGGCUAUUUGGAUAAUUAUUGACCAAAAAAAAAG
rnacentral:lncRNA from 1 species